AUCUUCGAGCGAGGGUUGCGACCGUCGAUCUUCCGGUUUGUGCAAUUCUCUAACCUCCAAAUCUACCGGGAGGUGGUGGAUCGCGCGCUCAUAGUGGAGAGCAGCGCGACAGAUGUCCAGGAGCGACGAGAGGCGAUGGACAAAGGUAAGGCCAAAAGGCCUCCGGCUGAGGGUGCUAGCGAAAUGCACUCUAGGAGGCCGCCGAAGCAUCCGAAGAGCCAGCAGCGUGGACGCGGCUCAGCAGCGCAGCGAGGAGGUCCUUACCGUCGCCGGCCUUCCUCGUGUGUGAUAUGCGGUGGCCCUCAUCACCCACCGCAGUGCCCGCAGGAGGCGGGCAGGUGCUUCUACUGUGGCCAGGAGGGCCACGUGCGGACUGAAUGCCCGAGAGGUACUUCACCGGCACCGUCGUCUGCAUCGUCACCGGCUUUACCAGUCGCCAACCACGGGACUCCGUCGACACCGUACCAGCCUGGGCGGCCACCCGUCCAGUGGCAGAACGAGGAUUUUCGACAGGCCCCAAGUGGGCGCAUGUAUGCCGCUCAGACCGAGGAGGCGGCAGCCGCCGAGGAUGUGGUUGCAGGUAUCAUGUUACUUGAUGGCAUUAGAGUUCGUGCAUUAUUCGAUACUGGUGCAUCGCAUUCAUUUAUAGAUCGGCUGUUUGCCGAGUUGCAUGGCAUCCCUUUGGUCUCCUUGUUGCAUCCGGGACAUGUUGUAGUACCCGACCACACCCUAGAUAUUAGAGAGUAUUGCCCUAGUUGCCCUGUUCGGGCAGGAGAUUGGAUCAUACCUGUAGAUUUGCUAGCCCUGCGCAAGCUAGGGGAUUUCGAUGUGGUCUUGGGUAUGGAUUGGCUAACCAAGUAUUAUGCCACCAUCGAUUGCAAGAAUCGCACGGUUACUUUUAGAGAACCGGGGCAGGCUGAGGUUGUCUUUAGUGGAUGCCGGAGUUCGCUGUUUGCGAUGACGAUCAGCUCGUCACGAGCUAGGCAGUUGAUCAGCAGAGGCUGUGUAGCCUAUUUGGCUAGUGUUGUGCUGAGGAGCGUAGGUGACACCCCUAGGAUUAAGGAUAUUCCGGUGGUACGGGAGUUCCAGGACGUGUUUCCAGCUAAGUUACCGGGUAUGCCACCCGAUAGGGAGAUCGAGUUUGUGGUAGAUCUUGUUCUUGGGACUACCCCAAUCUCAAAGGCACCCUAUAGGAUGGCACUGGCGGAACCGAGCUGAGGGCACAGCUACAGGAUUUGUUGGACAAAGGCUUCAUUCGACCGAGCGUUUUGCCGUGGGGAGCGCCGGUUUUGUUCGUCAAGAAAAAGGACGGAUAACUUCGCCUAUGCGUGGAUUAUCGUGAACUUAAUAAAGUCACGAUAAAAAAUAAGUAUCCGUUGCCGAGGAUCGACGACUUGUUUGAUCAGCUUCAAGGAUCAUGUGUGUAUUCCUAGAUAGACUUGCAGUCGGGAUACCACCAGUUAAAGAUCAAACCCGAGGAUGUAUCGAAGACGGCCUUUAGAACACAGUAUGGACAUUAUUAGUUCACAGUGAUGCCGUUCGGGCUUACUAACGCCCCGGCAGCUUUUAUGGAUCUGAUAAACCAUGUUUUCAAGCCUUACCUCGACAGAUUUGUCGUGGUGUUCAUUGACGACAUUUUGGUUUAUUCCCGGAGUGAUGCGGAUCACGAGGAGCAUUUGAGGCUUGUACUUCAAAUGCUUCGGGAAAAGGAGCUUUAUGCCAAGCUGAAAAAGUGUGAAUUUUGGCUUCGAGAGGUAGCCUUUCUUGGACAUUUGAUAUCGGAAUCGGGUAUAGUCGUGGAUCCCAAGAAGAUUGAGGCUAUCAGGGAUUGGCCGAGACCGACGAGCGUCACGGAGAUUCGGAGUUUUCUUGGAUUGGCCGGCUACUACCGGAGAUUUGUCGAGGGGUUUGCCAAGUUAUCUACUCCCCUCACGAGGCUCACGCACAAAGGUGUUAAGUUCAUUUGGAAUGACGCGUGCGAGCGAAGCUUCCAGGAGUUGAAGCAAAGAUUGACGACCGCCCCAAUCCUAACCAUGCCGAUGGCUGGAGUAGGGUAUGUGGUUUAUAGUGAUGCUUCACUUAAUUGAUUGAGCUGCGUUUUGAUGCAGGAUGGCCAGGUGAUCGCGUAUGCUUCGCGCCAACUAAAGGAUUAUGAAAAGAACUAUCCGACGCAUGAUUUGGAGUUGGCGGCUGUAGUCUUCGCCUUGAAAUUAUGGCGCCACUACUUGUAUGGCGAGCGAUGUGAAGUAUAUACGGAUCACAAGAGCUUAAAGUACCUGUUUACUCAGAAGGAGUUGAAUUUGAGAUAGCGCAGAUGGUUGGAGCUACUAAAGGAUUACGACCUGACGAUUCUAUACCACCCCGGCAAGGAUAACGUGGUGGCUGAUGCGCUAAGUCGGAAAUCAAAGGAAAACUUAGCGAUGCAUGUUAUUACUCAACCGCAGUUGAUCGAGCAGAUGAAGCGGUUGGAGUUCGAGGUGGUGACUCCUGACACGCCUUUGAGGUUGAUGACCUUGGUAGUGCAACCUAUACUCUUGAAUAGAAUUAAAGAGAAGCAAGCUUCCGAUGUGGAGUUGCAAAAGACUAAAAGUAAAAUGGUUGAUGGUUGUACCGGCGAUUUUCUUGUGGAUGACCAAGGAUUGAUGCAUUUUCGUGGACGGAAUUGUGUACCGGCUGAUUCGGGAAUUAAAGAGGAUAUUCUUCAAGAAGCGCACCGAGCGCCCUACGCUAUACAUCCGGGAGGCACCAAGAUGUAUAAGAACUUGAAGUUGCUUUAUUGGUGGCCCGGGAUGAAAAAGGACGUUGGCGAGUUUGUAGCUAGAUGUUUGACUUGCCAACAAGUGAAGGCUGAGCACCGAGUUCCCGCGGAAAAACUUCAGAGUUUGCCUAUUCCCGUGUGGAAGUGGGAGAAGAUCACCAUGGAUUUCGUGAUUGGAUUGCCCCGCUCUCAGGCCGGGCAUGAUGCUAUUUGGGUGAUCGUGGAUAGGUUGAUGAAGUCGGCGCACUUCAUAUCUAUUCAUACUACUUGGAUUGGGGAGAAGCUCGUACAAAUGUACCUAGAUGAGAUUGUGCGACUUUAUGGAGUGCCUACCUCGAUUGUAUCGGAUCGAGACACUCGGUUUGUGUCUCACUUUUGGAGGAGUCUACAGGACGCCAUGGGCACCCGACUCGACUUCAGCACUGCUUUCCACCCUCAGAGCCAUGGGCAGACGGAGCGCACCAUUCGGACUUUAGAGGAUAUGCUCCGAGCUUGUGUAGUAGACUUCCACGGAAGAUGGUCGCAGCAUCUAUCGAUGGCGGAGUUUGCUUAUAACAACAGUUAUCAAGCAAGCAUUAAGAUGGCGCCAUUUAAAGCACUUUAUGGAUGGAAGUGUAGAUCGCCACUUCAUUGGAGUGAAGUCGGCGAGAGAUUGGCAUUAGGCCCUGACGUGCUCCAGGAAGUUGAGGACAAGGUUCGAAUUACUCGGGAGCGACUUUUGAUGGCGCAGAGUAGACAGAGGAGCUACGCCGACCGACGACGGCGAGACUUUGAGUUCCAAGUGGGAGACCAUGUUUUCAUGAAGGUCUCGCCUACUAGAGGGAUCAAGAGAUUUGGGAUUCAGGGUAAGUUGAGCCCCCAUUUCAUUGGACCGUAUGAGAUCUUGGAACGCGUAGGUCCGGUAGCGUAUCGACUUGCUCUACCACCGAACCUAUCUGGCGUGCACAACGUCUUUCAUGUAUCGGUCCUUCGAAAGUAUGUCUUCGACCCGACUCAUGUGUUGGAUGCUACACCUGUGGAGUUGCGGGACGACUUGAGCUUCGAGGAGCAACCAGUGAGGAUUUUGGCUCGCGAGGUGCGGAAACUGCGGAAUCGGAAUAUUCCGUACGUGAAGGUUCUUUGGAGCAACCACGGGGAGCGGGAGGCCACGUGGGAGCUAGAGAGCACGCUGUGGGAGCGCUAUCCUCAUCUUUUUUAGAUGGAGCUUUGAGGUAUGUGUUGUCGUUUGAGUUUCACGGACGAAACUCCUUUUUAGGAGGGGUGAAUUUAGCACACUGGACCUUUGCAAAUUGUGAGGUUCGAGUGUUUGAUGUGUACUCCGAACUUUUCCAUACUUGGUACAAGACCAUAGAUGGUAUUCCGGCCUAAAAGUUCGAUCUCUAGAGUUUUGGCAAGUCCUGAGAGUUUUCACUCUCGGGGACCGGUCCCUGAUAUGAGAGACCGGUCCCCGCAGAACAGUGCUGCGGCAGGGCUUGAGGCAACCGGUCCCUGGCUGGGAGAGACCGGUUCCCGAACGCGUAUUUUGCGAGAAGGGUCCGAGAGACCGGUCCCUGGCGUGGAGAGACCGGUUCCCGAACGUUGGUUUUGCGGGACGAACUGAGAGACCGGUCCCAGGUGUCGGGGAGACCGGUCCCUCAGCGCGAAAACUGCCCAGACUGGGCAGUGCACAGGUUGCAUUUUAGAGCGACCUAAGUGGAUUUUGUUAUAUUUGAAGGCUUAUAGAGCCUCUCCUCUCCCUCUCAUCCUAAUUUUCUUUCCCUCACACCCUCCUUACACUUCUAGAGAGAGAAGAAGAAGGAGAAGAAGAAGGAGAAGUUGGAGAGCAAGCUUGAGGGAGCUUGGGAGGAUCUUCCUCUUUCCCAUUUCUCACUUUUGGAGGCUUAGAGCUCGGACUUGGAGCAUUGUGGUGGAUUUAUCUACAACCCUAGAGCAUUUGGAGCUUGGUUUGGAUCUUCUCUUGAGGUUAGUUGCUCAUUUCUCCCCUCUAGACCUAUUUUUAGUAGAUUUUGGGAGACGAAACCCUAGAUUUGGAUUUUAGGGUUAGAUUUGGGGAUUUUCAAUUUGAGGGCUUUGUGUAAUAUACCAGAUUUUGGUAUAAAAAUAAAAAAUAAAUAAAAAUAGUGUGGGAUACUAUUUUUAUUGGAUUUAGAGAAGUAAAACAUAAGUCAGAAGUGACUUGUGCUGAAAUCGGAAUUAAAAUAGAAGAUCUAAAAUUUUCUGUUGGAAACGGGACAGAUAAAUUAGCAGAAAAUGCACAGUCUCAGAAAAUUAUGAAAAUUGGCAGAGAUGUCAGAAAUAUUUUUGUGAGGCUAGAUUUAAAGUUUCAUAUUUUUCUGACACCCGAAAGGUGGGAAAUAAAAUCCCACAGCUAUCUGUUAAAGAUUACAGUUCGGUACAGUUUUCGGUAACCGAACGGGGUCGAAACUGAACCAGUGAUCGUCAGCUUGUUAAGUUAAGUAAAACCGAGCAUGACUGUCAAGUUUGAGCUCAAACGGACAUUCAGAGAGCUCCGGUGAAAGAUAUCAGAUUUUAAGUUGCCUGGAGUGAAUAGUGUUCGAGGGGUAUUAUAAAGAAGCUGAUGCUUCUUCUUCUCCUUCGGCCGCACCCCACGCACGCACACGACACACACACACACGCAAGGAAAGGAAAAGAGAGAAAGCCCCUUUUCUCUCUCUAAAUCUCUCCCAAAAUUGAUGAAAUUGGAGGAGAAGCAAGAUUGGAAGUUGAUUUUCAUCUCUUUUAUCAUCUUCCUCUCCAUUAGAGCAAGCUUUGAAGGUAACGAAACGCGUUGGCGAAGACGGUUCGGCAAUCCGACGAGCCGUUACAAAGUUAUUAAAGAAACGGACGUUUAGGCUUCGUUACCGCUUGGAGGGCCGAGGCGACGUCGUAAAAUCAUGGAAAUGAAUUUGAAGCACCGUGGCACAUAACCGAAGACCUUUAAUUUUCGGAUCGUGGAUCGGAGGCCGUUCGGGUGGUCGCGCAAAAGAUCGGGCCAAACCGGGUUACGGGUGCCGCGGGAGGCCGAUUGCAAGUGUCGACAAGCAAUCGGAAAGCGUUUUGAGGUGGGUUGUGCUCACCGAAGCGAUUAGGUCGCUUUCCAUGCUAAAGUGUAGUAUGUUUACUAUUGAUGCAUGAUAAAGUAUGCUAUUUAAGAAGGCAUAGCAAAAGAUUAAAGUGUGUCAUUAAGAAGAUCAUAUAAAGUAUGCUAUUUAAGAAUGCUAUAUAAAAUAGAUUCAAGAAAUGCAAUGAUUUGAUGUAAAACAUAUAUAUUAUAGAAAUCUAAACAGAUGUCAAAUCGAGUAUGAAUUUAUACAACCGAAAAUGCAUGUGGUAAAUUUUAAGAAUGCAUAAAUGCUAAUGAUACUAACCCAAGAGACAAAAUAUCCGCCAUAUAACAAGAUCAGUGGCAUUUGGAAUGGAGAAGUGGACCAUAGAUUAGUGGGGACAUCAAACGAAUAAAUAUUGUAAAGAACAAUGCAUCAAGCUAGAGACAAUGUAAAGUAAUAGGUAUCAAAACAAAGCAAAGGUAAACAAAAGAUAAUGCUAAACAAAUGAAAGAAUUGCAUAAAGAACAGCAAAGUGUAAAGAACCAUAUAAUGGCUAAAUACAUCAUUACGAUAAAAACACAUAAUUUAUGGGCCCAUAAAACAAAGUUGCACAAGAAUGACAAUACUAAAUUAAUUGAUAUUUGAUAAGAAAAAUGAUUGCUAGAAGUUAUCAACAAGUAUUAAAGAACACUAAAUGAGUUAAAAACCAUGAUCCACAACAUACCUUAGAGUUAAGGAUUGAUCAUACUGCUAUGAGUAUCCGUCUCGAGGCGGUCGCUCCCCUCGGCGAUGCGCCUCCGGAGUUGGCAUCCGGUUUGGAAUAGACACCUAAGACGGUCCUAGCGGGUGAUUCCUGGAGGAUGACUAAGGAAGCAAAUAUAAAUUGCAAACCCCCGGUUAGCCAUAAUAAAGAACAAAGACACAAAAAGGGAUAUAAAUGAAAGUUAUCAUUGCAUCAUCUAUGAAUGACUCAAGACGAGUCGAGUGCAUAGUUGGCAAGGUAAAUGUAACCUUAGAAAAGUGAAAUUUAGACAGACUUUUAAGUUAUACCACAAGAAUGCAAAUUGUAAAGAGCUAAGGCGCGAGUGCCCUUAGUAAAGGAUAAAGAAAAAGAAUACAAGCAUAAAGAAUAAAGAAUAAAAAUAAAGAAUAAGAUUAAAGAAUAAAGAAGGCUAAUGAUAAAAUGCAUAAUCAAAAGAAAGAUAAUGUAAAGAAUACUAAAGUUGCAUAAUUUGCAUAUUUGUGAGCAUCGAACAUGAUUGCAUGUGUACUAUGUAUAAUAAUCUGUUGGACUAACAUUCGAGUUCCUCCUUUGGACCUUGUGGUUAGCUUUCCCUGUGGCCUGACCCACUGAGACUAUGGACCAAUAGUCUCACGACCCCGGUUGUUGUUUUUGGGGGUAGCAAGGUUCACACGCGAGCGGAGCGGCGGCGCGAGGAAGGCGUUAGCGCCGUAGUUAGCGCCCUACCACAAGCGCGCCGGAACCAGAUAGGCAGCACCCUGAUCGGCUUCGUUAAGAGCGUAUAAAAAAAAAAGAAAGAAAAGAAGAAAAGAAUCAAUGUUAAAUUAAUGUAGAAAACGAUUGUAUAUUGAAGUUGAGGAUCAAUGUAAUGAAAAUGGAUUACAAAUGAUAGAUGAAAUAUAUGUAAUAACCAAUAGAUUUUAUUUGUUGAUACUUCCAUUACAAUCGUGUUGAAAAUUGUUCCUGUUGGAACCCUAUACUUGUAUUGAUGCGAAGCCUUGAACGUACAGGGAGACUGCUGUCCACGUGCAGGGAAAACUGUCCGUUAGGCGCUUUGGCGUGCCCGAAAUCCAGACCAAAGAGGCGGCUCGAGGUCCGUAGACAUUAAGAUGGUAUCCAAGCAUAAAGUAAGACAGGAAAAGUGUUACGAUGAACCUAGGAACCCAGAUAGUAAACCAAGAAUAAGGCUCGUGAGAGACGAAAUGACUUUUGGCGAAAAGGUUUAAGGGAUUGUUGUGUUGUAAACCUCUAAAAAGAGAUUAAGUAGAUCCAAGUGUGUCUAUUCUCAACCGAGGGUUCAUGUUGACCGUACAACAUGAAACCGGAUGAAGAAAAUCCCUUUAUGACUUCGCUCCGAUUGAGUUGAUCAUUUCCGUAACUCGACUCUAAGAAGGUAGAGUUAGUCGAGUUUUAUUUCUAAUAAAACGAGCACGAGCUUAAGGCGAAAUCUAGUAGAGCUGACCGGGGGGGACAAGGAUGUUCCGAGCAAUCCAAGGCGACGAACUCUGGAACUUCGCGAACGGUUGCCACACUUGUGGUGGUGAGCAACGAGCAGAUGUGUGCACAGCAUCAACAAAAACAGAGCUGCUAUCACGCAGGAGGAGCGAAUAAGAGACUCCGAAAAAAUUGUAGUUAAUAUCCGAAACUUCGGUAAGCAACAUCGAACCUUGGUAAAUUGACCAAUAGAGCGAGUUGUACGUUUCGAAAGGCCGAAGGCGCAAAUAAUCGAAGUGCUUACUGGGAUCUUCCGAGAGCUUUGGAAUCAAAUCUGUUCAAACGCAGGUUUCUGCCUCGGACGUCCCUGGUGGAGUAAGAGUCCCCGCACGCGCAGACCAGCGAAAGGAAAAAUCGCUAGUCCCCUGAUCACUCUCGGAACCGGUCCUGCAGAGACCGGUCCCGCCAAAAGAACCGUCCCAUCGGGGAACGAUGCACGCGACCCCUGACCGCAAGUAAGCUCUCGAGACCGUCCCGAACCUAAAAAUGCCCAGUCAGGGCAUCAAAAGAUACAAAAGUUGAGGAGGCUUGUUUGCACUAUAUGCAACAUUGGCACGUGAGGAUAUCGAAAGCUCUUUCUUCAUUUCCCAUCCACACACCCUCCUCCAUAACUCUCCUUUCUCAUCUCUAAAGACAAGAAAGUGAAGAAGAAAGGAAGGGAAAAAAAGAGAAAGAGCGGGCCUUUGGCAGCCCUCAUGACCUCAUAAAGUUGAUCCAACCUAUCUUCGACGGAGAGAAGUUUGAUUCGCGAUUGGGAUACGUGGAUGACCUCCGUGUGAAACGCCAUUAAGGACUCUACCUUGGAGCAGACAGGUACCUACCCGUUAUUGUUUGAAAACAGUCGGCUAAGCGUGUGGCAAAGGCAUUUACGGCGGAACCAUCGCCUAGUAUCCUCCAUGGCAUGGAUAUUUUAGGGAUGUACUUGCUAUCUACUUCCCCCGACAUGAAAAGAGAAACUCAGACAGUUCAAGAAGCUGCGGCAAGGAGACCGCAUCAGUGAGAAUACGAACUGGAAAUCUCCCUAUCGUGACUAUAAUCCGAGAUAUGGAACCUGCUGCUGACAACCUCAUCAUGUAUGAGCCAUUAAUCAUUAUUGUUUCUGAAAUAAUGUAAAAUUGUGCAUUGCAUCAUUGACAUGUAAUUAAUUACUACUAUUAUGUAGUACAUAUUCUAGGUCGCAAGUGAGCGUAUAAAUUAAAUACCCCGGGCACGCUUAUAGGUGAACGUGCACCUUGCCAGGUGCAGGUAAAACUGAGGCACUAGCAGUUGCUAUGAUGGUCUAAUGAUGAAAUACACAGUAGAGAUGAGGACGGACAACUCGCAGAGCAAUUAUAGUCUGAUUGCGAGGUUUGUGACUACACUUGUGGACACUCGAAGGGUCAGUAUCUCCGGAUGUUGCCUUCGAUGAACGGUUUUUGCCAAUAAGGCAAGUUUGCCUAUAGUACCCGAACAGUAGUGAGCAUUUCUUGGUGCGGUGGCAUAGGCAAGAGUUGCUAAUGCUCGACAUAGUGUGAUGACGCUUAGAGCGUCGAUACACCGAGUAUAGUUACUCGUGAGUGCGGAUUUUAGAUUAGCCGAAUGAGUGUGAUUGCAAUAGCACCUGGCAUGCUAGGGGGUGAAGCGUCGCCACGGAUCACUCGUUGGGGCUGGUGCUCGCACUAGGUAAUAGGACCAGAUAUUGUACGUAUCGGCCAUAGAGCGUGUAUGCUAUGAAGUAUACUAAUCAACUGUGACCCAACCCGAACUGUAACUUUGGAUCUUAGUUGCUCCGUUGAAGUGUGUGCGAAUUCCCAAGUGAGAAUUUCGCACCCGAUAUAUUGGUCUCGCAUUGGCACGAGAAGACGCCGGCGUAUGGAAGGUUUGGGCGUCGGCUUACAGAAUGGUGGCCUUUGGUCCACACUUGAAGAGCACCGAAAGAGCGGUUUAGCGGAUAGCCUUAUCGAGAGUCUACUCGAAUCCACGAACGAAGCGUCGUGUGACAUCGUGCGAAUAUUCAAUGUUACUAGUGGCAAUGGUACAGAAGAUGAGUGCUAUUUGUGAACCUGAUCUAAUAGCAAGCCACUUGAAUUUAGAUUGAUUGGAUGCGGCCGAUGUUGGCCACCUCAUUAAAUUAACGGCAAUUUGCCAAAUUAGAGCACUCAAUGAACGGACGAUGCACCCGGUGAUAUCGCUUAAGCAUUUCGAUCGAAUAGAAUGUAAUUCCUGAAAGGGGAAUCAUGCAAAGAAAAGUCUUUGUUCGAUGCAAGUGGUUAGAGCGCGAGAGUCAUCGAUUCCACUUACGCUAUUCCCCAAUAGUGACGGAGACCGUAAGCACUUUGGUGAAUGUCCUUGCAAAGUUGAUGCUUUGUACAUGAGCUCCCUAUAGUCCCUAUCUGAUAUUCCAAAGAGUAAAGCCAUUUCCGCCCAAUGAAAAAAGUGCAUUGUCGCUCCUCAUUAGCCUUCGAGAGCUGAAUGAGUUGCUUUAAUUUCGCGGCACUCGAAAUCUAUUUAAAGGGUGAGAAAAUAAUCAUACCAGAUUUGUUCAAAAUAAAAAUAAAUAAAAUAGUCGUGGAACCUAUUUUUAUGAUUUAGAGACUUAAAACAUAAUCACAAUGACUUUCGAAAUCGAAUAAAAUAGAAAUCCUAAAAUUAUUCAUGUGGACAGGAACAGACUAAAUUACAGAAAUGCACAAUCUCAGAACAAUAUAUGAAAUUGGCAGAAUGUGCAAAACUACCUUUUGCCUCGAGCUAGAUUUAACAGUUUCAUAAUUUUCUGACACCGCCGAAAGGUGGGAAUAAAAAUCCCACACAUCAGUUAAAAAUUACAUUCGUACAUUUUCGUAACGAACGGCGGGUCGAAACUAAACCAGUUGACGUCACUUGUAAUUAAGUAAAACCGAGCAUAGACUGUCAAGUUUGAGAGCUCAAACGACUUCAGAGACUCGCGUGAAAAAUAUCACACUUUAAGUUCACUGAGGCAUAGUGUUCGCCGGGGUAUUAUAAAAGAAGACUAUGACUUCUCUUCUCCUCGGCCCACCCCCCCGACACCCCACCACCACAGAACACCACACAGCCCCCCCCCACGCAAGGAAAGGAAAGAGAGAAAGCCCCUAUUCUCCUCUAACUAUUCCCAAACUUGAUCAGCAAUGGAGCAACAAGAUGGAAUUAUUUCACCUUUAUCAUCUUCCUCCAUUACGCAACUUGAAAGUAACAGAACGCUUGCGAAGACGGUUCGCGCAAACCCGACGAGCGUACAAAGUAUUAAAAAACGGCACUUUAGGCUUCGCUACGCUUGAGCGGCACCGGCACGUCGUAAAUCCAUGGAAAUGAAUUGAAAAACCCUGGCACAUAAACCGAAGACCUUUAAUUUCGCCACUCGUAAGCCACCACCCACGCCGCUUCGUAGUGUCGCGCAAAAGAUCGGCCCAAACCGGUUACGGGUGCCGCAGGCCAUUGCAAGCGCACAAGCAAUCGGAAAGCCUUGAGUGGUUGCUCACGAGCGAUUAGCUCGCUUAUCAUCAAAGUAGUAUUUUAUCAUUGGAUCAUAUAAAGUAUCUAUUUAAGAAAGGCAUGAAAAGAUUAAAUUGUCAUUUAAAGAACGAAAAGACUAUUUAAGAACAUGAUAAAAUAUAGAAUGUCAAUAAAUGCAAUCAGUUUAAUGUUAAUUACAUAGUAAUAUAAAAAUGCAAACAGAUUCAAACGUAUAUGUAGAAUUUCAACUAACUCGAGAAUGCAUAGUGGUAAAUGUUAAGUGAUUCAUAAAAUGCAAUUAUGACUACCAAUGGUGACAAAUAUCCGCAUAAUGAACAUAAUCGAGUGGCAUUUGGAAAUGUAAAGUGGACACUAAGAGUGGGACAUCAACGAAUAAAUUGGUAAAGACAAUGAUAAUUGCUAGAGACAAUAUGCUUUAUUCGCAGUCACUAGUGCUAUUAUUGUUGUACUACCUUUCUUUGGGCAUAUUGUGCAUAAGCGAGUCAGUAAUUGCCCACUGGGAACUAUAAAUUAUAGUUCUCACGCCCUCUUUUUCUCGAUGUUUUUCAGAGCCUUCCACUCAGGGUGAGGCCAGGGACCGCGGGAAGGGAGUUGCUUCGAGCUAGCUUCCUUCGAGGACGAUUCGCUAGGUGGUCUACCUCUCGUCGUAUUUUGUUUUGGAGAGGUUGAGAGUUUUACCAGUGUACUAGAGACCACCAUUUUUGUACUAGGGGCUGAUACUGUAUAACUUAUGUUUACUUUUACGUAUUAGUUAUGUUCUAUUACUAUUAGUAUGGAUGUUAGAACUUUACUCGCUCUGAUAUCAUUAGUUGCUUGAUAUUUCAUUUCUCUUAUUUGUUCCAUCUUUUGCUUUUACUUCCGCUUUUCUUGUAGACGCCUUAUAUGUGUAGACAUAUGGCGGGUCUGGGCACGCUACCGGGAGGGCCUCCGCCGGUCCCGGGGCGUGACACCCCCGGGGUCGGCAAGGCAAGCACCAGGGUCGACGUCAACCUGUUCUUCAACUCUUCGAAGCUUCGAUCGCAAUUGUCGCUCCAAACAUACUUUACUCCUUUAUGGGUAAGGCGCGUUAGUGGAGUGGUUAUUUUAGCGAACCCCUCCACGAACCGCCGAUAGUAGCCCGCAAGUCCAAGAAAACUGCGGACCUCCGCUACAUUCGUCGAGCGAGGCCAAUCCUUUAUUGCCUCUACUUUCUUCGGGUCUACCGACACUCCGUCGCCCGAUACUACAUGACCCAAAAAUGUGACCUCCUUUAGCCAAAAGUCACACUUCUUCAACUUUGCAUAGAGCUUCUCCUGCCUGAGUAUCUGCAACACAGCUCUCAAGUGCUCCUCAUGCUCUUCCUCACUCUUGGAGUAAACCAAUACGUCGUCUAUGAACACCACGACGCAUCGAUCCAACAACGGCCUGAAGACUCGGUUCAUCAAGUCCAUAAAUGCUGUCGAGGCAUUAGUAAGCCCAAACGGCAUUACCGUGAACUCAUAAUGGCCAUAUCGCGUACGGUACGCCGUUUUGUGCACAUCCUUUGGCCUAAUCUUUAAUUGAUGAUAUCCCGAUUGGAAAUCAAUCUUCGAAUACACCUUGGACCCUUGCAACUGAUCGAAUAAAUUGUCAAUCCUUGGCAACGGGUACUUGUUCUUUAUCGUCACUUUGUUCAACUCGCGAUAGUUUACGCAGAGUCGAAGUGUGCCAUCCUUUUUCUUCACAAAUAGCACCGGAGCUCCCCACGGUGACACGCUCGGCCUCACGAAGCCCUUAUCGAGCAAGUCUUGUAAUUGGCCUUUCAACUCCUUUAGCUCCACCGGUGCCAUUCUAUACGGAGCCUUCGAAACUGGCGUCGCUCCGGGAAUCAAGUCAAUGACGAACUCAACUUUCCGGUCCGGUGGCAAUCCCGGUAACUCCGCCGGAAACACAUCCGGGUACUCGCACACUACUCGAAUAUCCCCGAACUUUGGAUACUCCUUUCGAGCAUCUACAAUGGUUAUCAAAUAGGCCUUACACCCUCCUUUGAUCAUUCUCUUCGCCCUUACAGACGAUAUGGUCGCCGCGAAGCACCUACUUUUGCACGCUUGGUACACCAACUCUUCUUGAUUAGGCUCACGAAAAGUGAUCACCUUGCUUCACAAUCUAUAACCGCAUAGUAUUUGGAGAGCCAGUUGGUCCCCAAGAUGACAUCGAAUCCCGACAUCUGAUCUAGCACUAGCAGAUCUAUCGGCAUAAUACAAUCGCCUAUUUGCACUGGACACGCCAAACACUCAUUAUGGACACUGAAUGAAUGUUCUGGGGCGUUCAUCCACCAGUAGUCCUCGUUAUAUGCCAUCUCUAUGCCAUGAGUUUGAACAAAUGAUGCGCUAAUGAAUGAAUGAGAUGCGCCUAUAUCAAAUACUGCUCUAGCUCUAGUGCCUUUAAUCACAAUUAUACCUGCCACGACGUCGUCGGGUGUUGCAGGUUGCUGCUCCUCCACCUGAGCGGCAAAGACCCGGCCGUUAGGCGCUCUCGAUCCCUCCGGCUGACGCGGUGAUGACGCGCGCCCAGCCGACAUCGCUAGUGGCAACCCCGCAAGCUGUCUCGGGGUAGACGGCGCUGAUGCCGCCUUCGGCGCAGACGUCGUCCAGCUUGGGCACUCCCGGAUAAGAUGUCCCGGUUGGCCACACUUAAAAUAUUUACCGUCUCACUGCGGGCAAGCCGUCACUCGGUGCUCACCGCCGCAAAUAACACAUCGAGGAGGUCUCCAGUUCUUCGACUGCUGUCGGGGAUACCGAGGGGGUUUCUUAGCAUUUGGCAGGCCCCCGGCACCGCCCGCCGCUCGCUGCUUGCCCUUAUCUUUGUUCUCGGCCAUAGCCUCCCGUUCCUCUCGAACGUGAGCGCUACCAUGCUCCGCCCAUAAGGCUCUAUCAAAGACCUCCGCAAAGGUCGUCAGCUUCAAGAUCUGCACCUUCUCAUAUAUCCUCGGUUGGAGUCCUCGUAAUAACCAAUCAGCCCGAUCCCGAUCAUCUCGAACAACAUCGAGAACGCAGUCGAUAAUAUAGGAGAAUUCCUGCUCAUACUCCCCCACCGAUCGAUCGCCCUGUCUCAACUUGCGGAACUUUUCUUGCAACCUCCGCUUCACCGUGUCAAGGAAGUAGUUCGCAAAGACUGCUCUCUUGAACUCCUCCCACAGCAUAAGCGGAAGAUCGGUAGGUCGAUCCCGCUUAACUCGCUUCCACCACACCAUCGCCGCCUUCUCAAGACAAUGGGUGGCAAGGUAUACUUUGUCCUUCUCCGAGGUAUUUAGAUCCUCGAAGAGCGUCUUCAUCGAGUCGAUCAAUGACUCCUCAACCGCUGGCUCCACCAAACCGCCUUCGAAGGUAGGUGGGUCGAACUUCAUAAACUGUAUGAGAGCCGCCAACAUGCGCUCCCGCUCCGCCUCUACCGCCGCACUAUCGGGAUUUGAGGUUCCCGAUCCGGCCGGCACCGCCAUAACUGGCACAGCCGCAACUGGCUCUGCCGCUAAACCCUCGACAGCGACAGGGGGCGCAGGAGGUCCGACGCCCGCUUGCGUCGCCGCCGCCUGUUGUCGCUCAACAGCCUCUUAGAGCCUUUGAAUCUGCUCCCCUUGGCUUCGCACAAACUCUGCUUGCUGCCACACUACUCCAAUAAGCGCAGCCACUUGAUUCCUAAGCUCUCCGUCGCUACUCGCUCCGGAUCGCUCGGGCUCCGCACUCGGCUCCUCGGGCAUCGACCUUGUCUGUGGUCGACCACGAGGUGCCAUUGCUUCCUGAAAAGAAGCAACUCGCAUUAGCUACAUAACCAACAUUACUCAUCAAUACCUAAUUCGCCGAAAGCAACAUACACAUUCAUCCUUGCCUCAAGCGUCAUGUCGUCGGCCGCCCGACAGAACACUAGAAGUAGAGGACAAAUGAAAAUUAAACUUAGCCUUUAAUCACAUUAGAGACAUCCCAACUUAACCCAAUCACAUGCUUUUGCUAACUUUGAUCCCACGUCACUCACGUUUCCUAGAUCCUUAAGGCCUGCCAAUCCUAUAGGUCUCUAGAUCCAUUCCUAUUCUUUCACUCUAGGCUCUGAUACCACAAUAUCUGUCAUGCUCCGGGACCGAUACCAAUUUGGGCCGGCCCGAGCACGUCAAACAGACGCUGAACGGACAGAGUUUCUCCUAUCCGCCCAAGGCUCAUCACCUGUACAUUUUCAAGUAGAGAAAAGCACUAGCGGAAACAUACACAAACGGCUUACACGAGGGUAAGCAAUAGCCAUGAGUGAAAGAAAGGAAACUAAACAUCUACAUAAGUACUAUGAUUCUCUUUUGAUCACAUACAUUGCAUUUAACCUUCAAAUUCAUGAUUCUUUACAUUUCAUUACAUCACUUGCAUCAUUUCUUUUUACAUCACAUUGCCUCAAAAUAAAACUUUGCAUUCUUUUUCUUUACUUUAAACAUCUUCAAGUACAAAAGAUGACCAUAGGGUAGCUACUAACAAAAUGUGAAAUAAUCCAACUCUGGUGGCCUCUGACUAUGGUGCAAUACCUUUACCGCGGUCGCUUGACGACUCGCUCGGUCCCGGCUCUGUGAAAAUAGUGGGGUGAGAACUACAACAAAGUUUCCAGUGGGUUCGGCCCCAAUCUCACUGACUUUCCCACUAGGUCUAACUCAGGCAUAAUAGAAAGAAUAAGCAGAUAAGUAGCCAACUAUACAAAUGCAGCUAAUAUGCCUGAACAAUGCUAUCAAUAAGAUGCUCAAUAUAAAUUCAUGAAGAAUGCAUGGUCGAUGUUCUUUGUUCUUUGUUCUUUGUUCUUUGUUCUUUGUUCAAUCUCAAGGCUAACCCGGGGGUAUCGCCUCAUUAACUCACAACUCAAAUCCAUGAUCGCGGGCCCUCAGCUUCCUCCCGCUAGGACCGUCCUCUGAGUAACUCAACUCAGUGAUGACAAACUCCGGAGCGCAUCGCCCGAGGGGGAGCGACCACCCUCGAGCAAAGACUUAUAGCGAGUAUGAUCAAUCCUCAACUCUAAGGAUAUUCAGUUCAAUCUAUUCCUUAACUCUAAGGAAUUAUACACAAAUGACCCUUAGCUCUAAGGUUGAAUGUCAUCGUGUCAAUCUCAUGUUCUUUGCAUUCUUUAUCCUUGACCAUGUCAAUACACUAACUCUAGUGUUCUUUACAUUCUUUACUUUCAUCAUGUCUUUAUACUAACUCUAGUGUUCUUUACAUUCUUUACUUUCAUCAUGUCUUUACACUAACUCUAGUGUUCUUUACAUUACUUUAUUUUGCUAACUCUAGCACUCAUUGUUCUUUAACUUUACUCGUUCUUUAUGCCACUUUCAUUUUCUUCACUUGUCUCUAAUCAUUGUCAUUGUUCCUUGCGUCACAUUUCUCUUUGAUGCCACACACUAACUCUAGUGUCACAUUGCUUUACAUUAUCGGAUGCCACUCGAUCUAUAUUUUAUUGUGUCACUUUGUUCUUUCCAUCUCAUUGGACGCUCACAUUAUAUUCUCAUGCAUACAUAUAGGGUUGAAUAGGUUCUCAAACAUUUCAAAUAGCACGUGUACUCACAUCAUGCAACAUUCACAUAUAUCACAUCACAUCUACCCUAUAAUGCAUGCAACAAUAUAAACACUUGCUCAAUUGAAUGACACAUUAGGCAUAGAAGAAAUUCCAACGAGUUUGGAUAGCACCACCCACCUCGUAGGAGUACUAGGAUGCUACGAUGAUUUUCUUGGGAUUUUUAGCUUCUUAGUUUGUCACCUGCGGCAAAACGAAGCCCUAUUAGGCCAUUUUGCUCAUAUCUUUACAUCGGCUUUUCGUAACGUCAAUCCGAGUGCACCAACAUGUCGGAAAUACUCCCAAUUAGCGUAUCCGCCUCAAAAGGUACAAAAUGGUGGACUCUAGUACAUGGGUAAACUCUCAACCUCUCACAAAAUAAAGUAACGAGAGGUAAACCACCUAUCCAAUCGUCCUCAAAGGAAGCUAGUUCGAAGCAACUUCCUUCCCGCGGUCCCUAGCCUCUUCCGGCGUGGAAGGCUCUGAAAGAAAACAUAAAACGGAAGGCGUGAGAACUAUAAUUUAUAGUUCCCAGUGGGCAAUUACUGACCUCAGCUCUAUGCACCACUAGGCCCCGACAGAAAAGGGUAAGUACGAUAAGUAAUAAUAAUAAAGAUAACUGCAAUACGACAGCAUAAUGGAAUGCUAAGCUACUAUAUCUCAAGUAAACAUGAUGUAAGUAUGAUGUACAUCUACUCUAUCAUAAGCAAGUACGUCCAAUGGCAACAAGUAAGUGCUACGGUCCAAUGUGUUAUACAUAAAGAAUGGCUCUAUCAAGCAACCAAGUGUACUAUGAUGCAAUGAAUGAAACAGGCAAGUAUACUAUAUAUCCCGGUGCUAUGUCAUGAGCAUGUCAAAGUAAUCCAACUGCUAAACCUAUUUAGUAUUGAUUAUAACACACUUAACACCGUGUCGAUUUCCAUUUCCAAUUAAGGGCCUACCCAUGGUAGUCCAGCUUGUGCCACCUAAGUGCCUGUGGUAGCCCAACAUUCCUACUCUUGGAAUGUGUCUGUCCCACUCGACCCCGUAGGCUUCUCAAUACCGCACGAGCGAAUAUAAGUCGCGUAGGCUAACUCCGGAGUGCCGGCUUGUGGGGAGCGACCCUCACAAGCAUGUGCGAAUGAGCACAAAUGGCAAGCAAGCAUAGGCAAUACCUCAAGUAUCCAAUCAUCAUGUCUCUAACAUGGUAUAGUCACUAGCAUCCCGAAGAUCUAGUUCUAAGUCACAAUGUGAAGUUCCAACACUUACCUUGCUUGGUGCCUCUUUAUGACACCUAAGCAUGUUAACCACUAAGUCCAUUUUAUGAUCUAUGAUUCAAGUAUGACAUUAAUACUAGGUUCAUCAUGUUCCGAGCCCAAUGCCCCUUGAUGACAUUGGCCAAAAAGUUCUCAAGUAAUACCAUUUCCCAAACCCCAUAAUAGCUCUAAAGUUACAUUGAGACUCAAAUAGGCAUAGGUUUAAAUGCAUGUAAGUAAUGCUCAAUGUCACAAUAGAAAUCAUGAUACCAAGUCUCCACAGGAUGCCAAAACAUGUACAAGUUCCAUAUGCUGAUUCUCUACUAUAUAGAGGUUCAAAGUUUCAUCAUACAUAACAUAGGUAUGUUAAGCAUCCUAAAAUUCACAAUAAAUGUAUUUAGCAUGGAAAUCCAUGAAUAACCACUUAACGAAGCAUAAACCACGAGUUAUGAGAAUUUCUCAUAAUAUAGGCUAGGUCAAACCCACCAAAAUCGAAACCUUCGUUUCGCCGAACGGAGGUAUCCACAAGCUUUCUAGUACCCUAGGAACAUCAAAAAUGGGGUUACCCAAACGAAACGAAGAGCCAAAAGCUCAAUCAUUAAGCAUCAAGCAAAAAAGGGCAAAACUCACCUCAAGAGUAAAAAUCCUCUCCUAAGCUCCAAAAGAGAGCUAGAAUCCUUCCAAUCCAACCCAAAGGAAGAUUCUAAUCCAACUAAUUUAGCUCCAAAAGCCCUAGAUUCAAAAUGCCCAAAAUAAGUCCUAAAACCUCAUUCUAGGGUUCGAACCAUCAAAAAGCAACAAAACUCAAAUCUAGAGGAAGAGAAUGAGCUACUAACCUUUUAGAAGCUUCCAACAAGGUUCUAAGUUCACCAAGUGUGGAGAUCUUCCUCCUCUCAAGCUCCAAUCCCAAGCUCCAAUGGUGGAAAAGCCUUCAACACCCAAAAAGGAGCAAAAAGAGAGGUUUUAAUCUCUCUAAAUCCAAAUAAAAAUCAAGGGAAUCAAAGGGGAGAGUGUGGAGGGCUUCCUUACCUCUCCUCUUGCUGCUGGUGAGCUUAGGGGAGGCUUCAAGGGCGUGGGUGAUGAUAUAAGAAGUCCACAAAUGCAAAAACACCCCUGCAGUUCAAACUGCACGAAAUCAGCCUCCUUGUACCGGUACACGGGCCCCUGUACCGGUACAAGACCCACGAAAAUCCCAACCCGAGGCUUGGGUUGUGGGGUUCAGCGGCUCUGUACCGGUACAAGCCCGGUGGCUGUACCGGUACAACCAUCAACCUUGUACCGGUACAGCCAUCAGCCUGUACCGGUACACAGCCUCCAAAAAUGCAAUCCGAGAGUUAACCAAAAAUCCGUUUUUUCGGAUUUUUGUGCCAGGCUUUAAACCUCACUUCUCGGAAUGCGAGCCAUAGGUCGGAACACUGUCAACGACCCACCAGAAAGUCUGGAAUUGCUCAGCACACAAUCAACCACUCGAACCUCGCAAUUUGCAAAGGUCCAGUGUGUUACAUUCACCCCUCCUAAAAAGGAGUUUCGUCCGCGAAACUAAAAAGCAAAGUACCUCAAGCAUCCAUCUGAAAAAGAUGGGGAUAGCGCUCCCGCAGUGCGCUCUCCAACUCCCAAGUGGCCUCGCGCUCGUCGUGGUUGCUCCAAAGCACCUUCCCGUAGGGGAUUUCCCGGUUCAGCAAUCUCUUUACCUCGCGAGCCAAAAUCCUCAAAGGUUGCUCCUCAAAGCUCAAGUCCUCCCUCAGCUCCAAAGGCGUAGCGUCCAAAACAUGAGCCGGGUCGUGGAUGUACUUCCGAAGGACCGAUACAUGGAAUACAUUGUGCACACCCGAUAGGUUCGGUGGUAGAGUAAGUCUAUAUGCUACCGGACCUACACAUUCCAAAACCUCAUACAGUCCAAUGUAUCGGGGGCUCAACUUACCCCUGAUUCUAAAUCUUCUAAUUCCUUUGGUCGGCGAGACUUUCAAGAACACAUGGUCUCCAAUCUGAAACUCCAAGUCCCGUCAACGCUUGUCAGCGUAACUCCUCUGCCUACUCUGGGCUGUCAACAGUCACUUCCGAGCAAUGCGAACCUUGUCCUCUGCUUCCUGGAGCACAUCGGGGCCUAAAGCCAUUCUGUCGCCAACUUCACUCCAAUGAAGUGGCGAUCUACAUUUCCGUCCAUAGAGUGCUUCGAACGGUGCCAUCUUGAUACUUGCUUGAUAACUGUUGUUAUAAGCAAACUCUGCCAUCGGUAGAUGCUGCGACCAUCCUCCCUGGAAGUCAAUCACGCAGGCUUCGAGCAUGUCCUCGAGAGUCUGUAUAGUACGCUCCGACUGCCCGUCACUCUGGGGGUGGAAAGCAGUGCUGAAGUCCAAGCGCGUAUCCAAAGCAUCCUGUAGACUCCUCCAAAAAUGAGAUACAAAUCGGGGGUCUCGAUCUGAUACUAUAGAAGUAGGUACCCCGUGCAAUCGCACAAUCUCAUCCAAAUAAACCUGUGCGAGUCUCUCACCAGUCCAAGUAGUGUGGAUAGGUAUGAAAUGUGCUGAUUUCGUCAAUCUGUCCACGAUCACCCAAAUAGCACCAUACCCGGCCUGUGAGCGAGGCAAUCCCAUCACAAAAUCCAUGGUGAUCUUCUCCCACUUCCACACUGGAAUCGGUAGGCUCUGCAACUUUUCCGCAGGAACUCGGUGCUCAGCUUUCACCUGUUGACAAGUUAAACAUCUGGCAACAAACUCACCAACUUCCUUUUUCAUCCCGGGCCACCAGUAAAGCAACCUCAAAUCCUUGUACAUCUUGGUGCCUCCCGGAUGUAUAGCAUACGGUACUCGGUGUGCUUCUUGAAGAAUAUCCUCUUUAAUGCCCAAGUCCGCCGGUACACACAACCGUCCGCAGAAUCGCAUCAAUCCAUCACCGUCUAAAGUGAAGUCACCGGUGCAACCAUCAACCAUCUUAGCUCGAAUCUUUUGCAACUCCACAUCGGAAGCUUGCUUUUCUAUAAUCCUUUCCAUAAGUGUAGGUUGCACUACCAAAGUCAUCAGCCUCAAAGGUGUAUUAGGAGCCACCACCUCCAACUCCAACCGCUUCAUCUGCUCGAUCAACGGCGGUUGAGUAACCACAAGCAUCGCUAAGUUCUCCGUCGAUUUCCGACUUAGCGCAUCCGCCACCACGUUUGCCUUGCCGGCUGGUAAAGAAUAGUCAAAUCAUAAUCCUUGAGCAGCUCCAACCAUCUGCGCUGCCUCAAGUUCAACUCAUUCUAAGUGAAUAGAUACUUUAAGCUCUUGUGAUCUGUAUAUACUUGUACCGCUCGCCGUAUAAAUAAUGGCGCCAUAGCUUUAAAGCAAAAACCACGGCCGCGAACUCCAAGUCGUGAGUGGGGUAAUUCCUUUCAUAAUCCUUUAAUUGGCGAGAUGCAUACGCGAUCACUUUCUCGUCCUGCAUCAAAACACAGCCCAAUCCAUUAAAGGAAGCAUCACUGCAAAUCAUAUACCCUGCUCCAGCAGUCGGCAAGGUAAGGAUCGGGGCGGUAGUCAGUCUCUGUUUCAACUCUUGGAAGCUCCUUUCGCACGCAUCAUUCCAAAUGAACUUGGUGCCCUUAUGCGUGAGCCUCGUGAGGGGAGUAGAUAACUUUGCAAAUCCCUCAACAAACCGUCGGUAGUAGCCGGCCAAACCAAUGAAGCUCCGUAUCUCGGUCACGCUCGUCGGCCUCGGCCAAUCCUUGAUAGCUUCAAUUUUCCUUGAAUCCACAACUAUCCCUGAUCCUGAAAUCACGUGGCCCAAAAAUGCCAUCUCUCUAAGCCAAAAUUCACACUUUUUCAGCUUGGCAUAGAGCUUCUUUUCCCAAAGCACUUGAAGUACAAGCCUUAAAUGCUCCUCGUGAUCCGCAUCACUCCGGGAAUACACUAAGAUGUCGUCGAUGAACACCACGACAAACCUGUCUAAAUAAGGCUUGAAAACACGGUUCAUUAGAUCCAUAAAAGCUGCCGGGGCAUUAGUAAGCCCAAACGGCAUAACGGUAAACUCAUAAUGUCCAUACCGUGUUCUAAAAGCCGUCUUCGAUACAUCCUCAGGUCUGAUCCUCAACUGGUGAUAUCCCGACUGCAAGUCGAUCUUGGAAUACACACAAGAUCCCUGGAGCUGAUCAAAUAGAUCAUCAAUCCUCGGUAAUGGAUACUUGUUCUUGAUCGUGACUUUGUUAAGUUCACGAUAGUCCACGCACAAACGAAGUGAUCCAUCCUUCUUCUUCACAAAUAAGACCGGUGCUCCCCAAGGCGACACACUCGGUCUCACGAAACCCUUGUCCAGAAGAUCCUGCAACUGUGCCUUCAGCUCUUUUAAUUUUGCUGGUGCCAUCCUAUAGGGUGCCUUUGAGAUUGGAGUAGUCCCGGGAAUGAGAUCUACUACAAACUCAAUCUCCCUAUCAGGUGGCAUGCCUGGAAGCUCCGCUGGAAACACAUCUCUAAUUUCCCGCACCACGGGGAUAUCCUCAAUCCUAGGGGCGUCAUCCUCACCCCGCGACACAAUAGUAGCCAAGUAGGCUACGCAACCUCUACUAAUAAACUGCCAAGCUCGAGAAGAGCUAAUCGUCAUCGCAAAAAGCGAACUCUGGCAUUGUCACGCCCCGGGACCGGCAGAGGCCCUCCCGGUAGCAUGCCAGACCCGCCAUAUGUCUACACAUAUAAGGCGUCUACAAGAAAAGCGGAAGUAAAAGCAAGAGAUGGAACAAAUAAGAGAAGUGAAAUAACAAGCAACUAAUAAUAUCAGAGCGAGUAAAGUUCUAACAUCUAUACUAAUAGUAAUAGAACAUAACUAAUGCGUAAAAGUAAACAUAAGCUAUACAGUAACAGCCUCUAGUACAAAAAUGGUGGUCUCUAGUACACUGGUAAAACUCUCAACCUCUCCAAAACAAAAUACGACGAGAGGUAGACCACCUAGCGAAUCGUUCUCGAAGGAAGCUAGCUCGAAGCAACUCCCUUCCCGCGGUCCCUGGCCUCACCCUGAGUGGAAGGCUCUGAAAAAUAUCGAGAAAAAGAGGGCGUGAGAACUAUAAUUUAUAGUUCCCAGUGGGCAAUUACUGACCUCAGCUCCUGCUCCACUAGGCCCCAAAAACAAGGGUAAAUAACGUUAAUAGCAAUAAGCAAUGAAAAGGAGCAUGUAAAUAAACUGCUGAAAGAGAAAGCAUAGGUAAAAUGCUAUACCACUAUACCCCACAUAAGCACGAUGUCAAAGUGUUGUACAUCUAUUCUAUCAUAAGGAAAAGUGACCAAUGGCAAUAGUUUACUGUUACAAACCUUUAUUCAUACGUGAUGUAUAAGCUCUAACAAGGCAACCAAGUAUACUGUGAUGAAAUAGGUAACUGUCAAGUAUACUACAUGUCUCAACCCUAUGCUAUANNNNNNNNNNNNNNNNNNNNNNNNNNNCAAAACUAACCUCAAGAGUAGAAAUCUCUUCCAAAGCUCCAAAAGAGAGCUAGAACCCUUCCAAUCCAAGCUUAAGGAAGGUUCUAAACCAAUCAAUCAAGCCUCAAAAGCCCUAGGUUCAAAAAGCCCAAAAUAAACCCUAAAUCCCAAAACUAGGGUUUCAAAACAAUAAAAUCCCAAAUCCAAGGUCUAGAUGGAGAGAAAUGGCUACCAACCUCAAAAAAACUUCAAUCCAAGCUCAAAGGGUGAAGAUCUUCUCCUUUGCAAGCUCCAAGUCCAAGCCUUCAAGCACCAAGGAGGAUGAGAGGGUGAGGAAGAUGCUCCAAGUCCACUAAUAGCUCCAAACUUCUUCUCCUUCCCUCCUUCUUCUCCUUCUCCUUCUUCUUCUUCUUCUCUAUCAAGGGUGUAGAGAGGGUUGAGAGAGGAGAAAUGAGGAGAAGAGAGGGUGGAGGGGUCAUAUAGACCCUCUAAUGUAACAAAAUCCAACCAGGCCCCUCAAAAAUCCAAUAUUACCACAGCCCGGUCUGGGCAGUUUUCGCCCAGAGGGACCGGUCUCUCCCCAGUAGGGACCGGUCUCUCGCUGCGAAUCCGAAAAACCAGCGUUCGGGAACCGGUCUCUCCCCGCGCAGGACCGGUCUCUCACUGCGAAGACGCGCUCGGGGACCUGUCUCGCCCGCCAGGGACCGGUUGCCUCAGGCUGCCUCAACACUGUUCACUGGGGGACCGGUCUCUCCUUCCAGGGACCGGUCCCCGAGAGUAAAAACUCUCAGGACUUAUCCAGAAUUCCAGAUUUUCGAACUUUUUAGGUCGGAAAACAUUCUACAACCCUCCACCAAGUGUGGAAAAGCUCAAAAUACACUCGAACCUCGCAAUUUGCAAAGGUCCAGUGUGUUACAGGCAUCCUCGAUACACAACCUCCGGCUGCCCCGGCUCUCUAAAUGUCACAGUUCGAUACUUACAAUCGAUAGUGGCGUAGAACUUAAUCAACCAAUCCAUGCCCAACACAACAUCAAACUCCCCAAGUUUAUGCAAGGCUAGCAAGUCCACGGGAAUGAUCCAAUCUCCAACCCGAACAGGGCAACUAGGGCAAAACUCCCGAAUGUCCAAAGAAUGGUCGGGUACAACAACUCGUCCCGGAUGCAGCAAGGAUACAAGUGGGAUGCUAUGCAACUCGACAAACAGCCGGUCUAUGAAUAAAUGCAAUGCACCGGUAUCAAAUAAAGCUCUAACUCGAAUACCAUAAAGUAAAAUGAUACCUGCGACCACAUUCUCGGCUGCCGCCACCUCCUCAGUCUGGGCCGCUUACAUGCGUCCGCUCGGGGCCUGUCGUGACACCUCCGCCUGCCGCUGAACUGGCGGCCGUCCUGCCUGGUGAUGUGCAGAGGAUGUCCCCUGACUGGGACCUGGCGAUGCUGGUGCAGAUGCCGAAGAUGGUGCUGGCGAUGGACUCCUCGGGCAGUCCGACUGGAAGUGGCCCUCCUGGCCACACAAGAAACACCUGCCCCGGCUGCGUGAACACUGUCGCGGGUAGUGGGGACCACCACAGAUCACGCAGCCGGGGGCCUGGCGACGAUCGGGUCCUCCUCGCUGAGUAGACGAGCCACGUCCUCGCGACUGGCCCCGGCUCCUAGGGUGCCUCGGCGGCCUCCGUGAGUGCGUCUGACUCGCACCCUCAGCCGCGGGCCUCUUUCCCUUCCCUUUUUCUGAGCUCUCACGACGCUCCUGCAAAUCCGCCGCUCUUGCCUCCACUAUCAAUGCUCGAUCCACAACCUCUCGGUAGGUCUAGAGAUUGGAGGACUGUACCAACCGAAAGAUAGAAGGCCGCAAUCCGCGCUCAAAAAUGCGGGCCUUAUCCUUAUCAUCCCUCACAACGAACGGUACACAGUGAAGUAGCCAGGAGAACUCCUUCUCGUACUCGGCCACUGUCCGCUCGUCCUGGCGCAAGCUGCGCAAAUCCUGCUCCUUCUUCUUCUUGACGCUGGUCGGGAAGUAGUGCGCCAGAAGAAGCUCCUUGAACCUCGUCCAAGUAAUCGCUGCCAAGUCGGUGUUGGGGUUGUCCUGGAUAUGCAACCACCAACGGUAGGCCUCGCCGUCGAGAAAGUGAGUGGCGAGCCAAACUCUGUCUCGCUCCUCCACAAAGGUGUCUCGAAAAAGCUUCAUGUGCAUCAACCACUUCUCAACAAUCCAGUGGUCGGCGUUCUCGCCAUCAAACGUCCUCGGGCUGCAUCUCCUGAACUCACUGAAGCGCUCCAUGAGCCGAUCCCGCUCGGCUCCCUCGGCCCUCACGGGGAAAGCUGCCCCCGUGGCCGGUCUCUGAGCUGGGUGUGCCGCAGCCACCUCCUCCCGAGGUGUGGUCGCCGGUGCCGCAAGGGAAGAACUGGGCGCGGGGGACUGCGCCCUCGGUGCGACGUCCACCACGGGUGCUGGCGGUGUGGGAACCUGGGUCUCCCUCGAAGCUGCCUCCUGCUGAAGUAGGAAGUCCUCAAGAUGCUUCAUCCGCGCCUUCUGCCGCUGAACCACAACGAACCUGUCUAAAUAAGGCUUGAAAACACGGUUCAUCAGAUCCAUAAAAGCUGCCGGGGCAUUAGUAAGCCCAAACGGCAUAACCGUAAACUCAUAAUGUCCAUACCGUGUUCUAAAAGCCGUCUUCGGUACAUCCUCAGGUCUGAUCCUCAACUGGUGAUAUCCCGACUGCAAAUCAAUCUUGGAAUAUACACAAGAUCCCUGGAGUUGAUCAAAUAGAUCGUCGAUCCUCGGUAAUGGAUACUUGUUCUUAAUCGUGACUUUAUUAAGUUCACAAUAAUCCACACACAAACGAAGUGAUCCAUCCUUCUUCUUCACAAAUAAGACCGGUGCUCCCCAAGGUGACACACUUGGUCGCACGAAGCCCUUAUCCAGAAGAUCUUGCAACUGUGCCUUCAGUUCCUUCAACUCCGCUGGUGCCAUCCUAUAGGGUGCCUUUGAGAUUGGGGUAGUCCCGGGGACGAGAUCUACCACAAACUCAAUCUCCCUAUCAGGAGGCAUGCCUGGAAGCUCCGCUGGAAACACAUCUCCAAACUCCCGCACUACGGGGAUAUCCUCAAUCCUAGGGGCGUCAUCCUCACCCCGCAACACAAUAGUAGCCAAAUAGGCAACGCAGCCUCUACUAAUCAACUGCCGAGCUCGAGAAGAGCUAAUCGUCAUCGCAAAUAGCGAACUCUGGCAUCCUCGGUACACAACCUCCGCCUGCCCCGGCUCUCUAAAUGUCACCGUUCGAUUCUUACAAUCGAUGGUGGCAAAGUACUUGGUCAGCCAAUCCAUGCCCAACACAACAUCAAACUCCCCGAGUUUGUGCAAAGCUAGCAAGUCCACGGGCAUGAUCCAAUCUCCAAUCCUAACAGGGCAACUGGGGCAAAACUCCCGAAUGUCUAAAGAAUGAUCGGGUACAACAACUCGGCCCGGAUGCAACAAGGAUACAAGUGGGAUGCCAUGCAGCUCGGCAAACAGCCGAUCAAUGAAUGAAUGCGAUGCACCGGUAUCAAACAAAGCUCUAGCUCGAAUACCAUAAAGUAAAAUGAUACCUGCGACCACAUUCUCGGCUGCCGCCGCCUCCUCAGUCUGGGCCGCGUACAUGCGCCCGCUCGGGGCCUGUCGUGACCCCUCCGUCUGCCGCUGGACAGGUGGCCGACCGGCCUGGUGAUGCGCAGAAGAUGUCCCCUGGCUGGGACCUGGCGAUGCUGGUGCAGAUGCCGCAGAUGGCGCUGGCAAUGGACUCCUCGGGCAGUCCGACUGGAAGUGGCCCUCCUGGCCACACAAGAAGCACCUGCCCCGGCUGCGUGAACACUGCCGCGGGUAAUGAGGACCGCCACAGAUCACGCAGCGGGGGGCCUGACGACGAUCGGGUCCUCCUCGCUGAGUAGACUGGCCACGUCCUCGCGACUGGCUCCGGCUCCUGGGAUGCCUCGGCGGCCUCCGUGAGUGCGUCUGACUCGCACCCUCAGCCGCUGGCCUCUUGCCCUUGCCCUUAUCUAGGGCCUCGCGUCGCUCCUAAAGAUCUGCCGCUCCAGCCUCCACUAUCAAAGCUCGAUCCACAACCUCCCGAUAAGUCUGGAGGUUGGAAGACUGCACCAACCGGAAGAUAGAAGGCCGCAAACCGUGCUCAAAGAUGCGGGCCUUAUCUUCGUCGUCCCUCACAACAAACGGUACACAGUGUAGUAUCCGGGAGAACUCCCUCUCGUACUCAGCCACUGACCGCUCAUCCUGGCGCAAGCUGCGCAAAUCCUGCUCCAUCUUCCUCUUGACACUGGUAGGAAAGUGGUGCGCCAGUAGAAGUUCCUUGAAUCGGGUCCAAGUAAUCGCUGCCAAGUCGGUGUUGGGGUUGUCCUGGAUAUCCAACCACCAACGAUAGGCCUCGUCGUCCAGGAAGUGAGUGGCGAGCCAAACUCUGUCCCGCUCCUCCACAAAAGUGUCUCGAAACAGCUUUUUCAUAUGCAUCAACCACUUCUCGACAAUCCAGUGGUCGACGUUCUCUCCAUCAAACGUCCUCGGGCUGCACCUCCUGAACUCGCUAAGGCGCUCCAUAAGCCGAUCCCGUUCGGCUCCCCCGGCCAUCACGGGAAAAGCUGCCCCCGUGGCCGGUCUCUGAACUGGUAGUGCCGCAGCCACCUCCUCCCGAGGUGCGGUCGCCGGUGCCGCACGUGAAGAACUAGGCGCGGGGGACUGGGCCCUCGGUGCGACGUCCACCGCGGGUGCUGGCGGUGUGGGGCCCUGGGUCUCCCUCGAAGCUGCCGCCUGCUGAAGUAGGAGGUCCUCAAGAUGCUUCAUCCGCGCCUCCUGCCGCUGAGCCACCUCAGCCUGUCGCUGCGCCGCCGCCGUCUGCUGCCCCAACAAAUUAGUGAGAACCGCAAGCUGGGCCCUCAAGUCACGGACCUCGCUAGAUCCGGAAGUAGCGGAGGUCUCGACCUCCUCGGGGUGUGCCGCAUCAUCCGCCCCGGCAGACUGGGAGCGUGUAAUCGGCAUCGUCACUACAAAACAUAAAAGCGCAAGUUAGUAACCCACGCUAUCGCAUCCCCGCUCAAAUAGAUAAAACCCCAAAUCAUGCGAAAGUAAGGAAGUGUCCUUCACUACUAACUCCCGAUGUUACGUUGUCGGCCGCCAACGUAACCCUCCGCGAAGUUAGAAGCCAUACACUCCGAUCAAACUCUAACUUUUUAGAGUUGUCAUAAACCCAAUCAUAAUACUUUCGCUCACAAGUCAAUUAGACCUCGUCUCUCACGAGCCUAAUUCCUAUAGUCCAACCGGCCUAAGGUUCGCUAGGUCCACUAAGACUCAACCCUAGGCUCUGAUACCAAAUUAAUCUGUCACGCCCCGGGACCGGCGGAGGCCCUCCCGGUAGCGUGCCCAGACCCGCCAUAUGUCUACACAUAUAAGGCGUCUACAAUAAAAGCGGAAGUAAAAGCAAGUAAUAAAACAAGUAGAAGAAGUGAAAUAACUAGCAACUAAUGAUAUCAGAGCAAAUAUAGUUCUAUCAUCUACACCAAGGUAAAGAAGUAAAGCUAGACAGUAAAAGGAGUCAUAAGAAGUACAAUAUCUGUCUCAAAUGUACAAAAAUGGUGGUCUCUAGUACACUGGUAAAACACUCAACCUCUCGCAAAAUAAAACAUAAAUCGAGAGGUGGACCACCUAGCAACUCGUCCUCGAAGGAAGCUAGCUCGAAGCAACUCCCUUCCCGCGAUCCCUGGCCUCACCCUGCGUGGAAGGCUCUGAAAAACAUCGAGAAAAAGAGGGCGUGAGAACUAUAAUUUAUAGUUCCCAGUGGGCAAUUACUGACCUCAGCUCAAUGCACCACUAGGCCCCAAAAGAAAAGGGUAAGUAACGACAAUAAUAAUAAACAAUAAAGAGCGAGUAUAAGAACUGCUGAAAGAAAGCAUAAAUGAAAUGCUAUACUACUAUGUCUCAAGUAAGCAUGAUGUCAUGGUGAUGUACAUCUACGCUAUCAUAAGAUAAUAUGUCCAAUGCAUAAAGAGUAAGCUCUAACCAAGCAACCGAGUAUACUACAAUGCAACAAUGAAACCGGCAAGUGUGCUAUAUGUACCAAUGCUAUAUCAUGAGCAUGUCAAAGUAAUCCAACUACUAAACCUAUCUAGUAGUGAUUGUUCAUACUCAACACCGUGUCGAUUUCCAUUUCCAAUUAAGGACCUACCAAAGGUAGUCCAGCUUGUGCCGCCUAAGUGCCUGUGGUAGCCCAACAUCCCUACUCUUGGAAUGUGUCUGUCCCACUCGACCCCGUAGGCUUCUCAAUACCGCACGAGCGAACAAAAGUCGCGUAGGCUAACUCCGGAGUGCCGGCUUGUAGGGAGCGACCCUCACAAGCAUGUGCGAAUGAGCACAAAUGGCAAGCAAGCAUAGUCCAAGUCUCAAGUAUCCAAUUCUCAUGUCUCUAACAUGGUAUAGUCACUAGCAUCCCGAAGAUCUAGUUUUAGUCACAAUGUGAAGUUUCAACAUUUGCUAUGCCUAGUACCCCUUGAUGACACUUAGGCAAUUUGAUGUUCAACAUGUUUUUCAAAUCCCUCAAUGGCCCUAUCUACUAGGUUCACACAUGUCCUGAGCUCAAUGCCGCUUGAUGACAUUAGCUCUCUAAUUCACAUACAUCUAAGUUUGAUGUCAAUAAAUGGCAACUUGUCAUUCAUCAUAUCUCAAAUAAACCUAAGUUUAAAUGCACAAAUUAAAGCCCAUUUACACUAUAGAAGCAUGAAACCAAGUCUCAUAUAGAAUGCCAAAUGCAACACUAGAUCUGUCCAGCAACUCUCUACUACAUAGAGGUCCGAAAAUUUUAUUACAUAUAACAUGGGCAUUUUAAGCAUUCUAAAAAUCGUAAUAAAUGUAUUUAGCAUGAACAUGCAUGAAUUAAUAGUAUACGAAACACUUAUCACCAAAUAUGAGGAUUUCUCAUAUUAUAGGCUAGGUCAAACCCACCGACGACAAUGAAGCUUUUCGUUUGCUCCAACGGAGAUAUCCCCUAGCUUCCUAGCACCCUAGGAACAUCAAAAAUGGUGUCAUCCAAUCAAUACGAAGAGCAAUAAGCUCAAUCUUUAACCUAGGAGCAAAAAGGGCCAAACUCACCUCAAGAGUAGAAAUCUUCUCCUAAGCUCCAAAAGAGAGCUAGGGUUCAUCCAAUCCAAGCCCAAGGAAGGUUCGAAACCAACCAAUCAAGCCUCAAAAGCCCUAGGUUCAAAAAGUCCAAAAUAAACCCUAAGUCCCAAAACUAGGGUUUCAUCUCAAAGAAAGCUCUAAAAUCCAAAACUAGAGGAAAGGAUCUUGCCACUUACCUCUUAGAAGCCUCAAAACCAGCUCAAAGUCCUCAAACUUCAAGUAGCUUCCCUCAAUAAAACUCCAAACCCAAGCUCCAAGCUCCAACAAUGGUGGAAAUAGCUUCAAUAGGGAAAAAGAGAGGAAAAUCCAUCAAAAUCCAAGAAAUUGGAGAUCAAAUCCAAGUAGGGGAAAAGAGGGGCUCCCUACCUUGCUCCUCCUCAGGUUCCAGCACAAGAGAGGCCCUAUGGGCGUGGGUGCUGUUAUAACGGUGUCACAAUCGCAAAUAAGCCCCUGCAGAACAAACUGCUCAAAAUCUGCCGCCUUGUACCGGUACACGGGCCCUUGUACCGGUACAAGGUCCACGAAAUCCAAACCCGAGGCUCGGGUUGCGCUGUUCUGCGGCACUGUACCGGUACAAGCUCCGAUGGCUAUACCGGUACAACCAUCAACCCUUGUACCGGUACAAGCACAACCUUGUACCGGUACAAGCCUGCCAGAACUCAAUCCGAGAGCUGACCAAAAUCCAAAUUUUUGGGUUUCGGUGCAAGGCUUUGUACCACACUCCUCGGGACGCGUGCCAUAAGUCGGAACACAGUCAACGACCUACCAGAAAAUCUGGAAAAGCUCAGAGCACAGCUAAUCACCCGAACCUCGCAAUUUGCAAAGGUCCAGUGUGUUACAGUCCCGCAGACGGUCUCGGUGUGCGAGUGCAGAUUCUCCUCACCUAUGAGAUUGAAAGUGAGUCGGGGUUAACCCCGGGGUGGCAACCUUCGGGUUAGCCAUGAGAUUGGAUACUAUCGAGGCAUAGUUGCACGACGCACUAUGUAGUAGCUCGUUCAUUUGGAUUAUUGAGGCAUAGUAGCAUGUGCAGAUACAUCACUAUAUAGCAGCUCAUUUCUUUAUUGUUGAGACAUAGUAGCAUGUUGUAGAUACAUCACUAUGUAGUAGCUCAUUUCUAUUGUUGUUGAAGCAUAGUAUCAUGAUUAGUAGAAUAUCAUUGCUAUGUUCAUGCAUUCCAUGAUUACAGAGGCAUAGUAGCAUGUGUAUAUUCCAUUACUAUGUAGCAGCUCGUACUUAGUAGAGCGAGAUUGAGUCGGGCGAGGAGCGGGGUAGCUCUUUGCCUAGGACCUUCGAGAUUGAGUCGGGCAAGGAGCGGGGUAGCUCUUUGUCUAGGACCUUUGAGAUUUGAGAUCUUAGGCAAGUUGGCCUAGUCGAUUGGGUUGUAACAUGAAUAGCAUAAGUGGAUUGCAUUCAUGCCAUGAUUGGACAUAGUAGACUGCAUAACUAUGUUGUAGUUGUAUUUAUUACACUGUUGAAGCAUACUAGCAUGAUAGUAGGUUAUUGCUAGAUGAUGUUCCAUGCAUUCUUUGCAUUUGAUGGCAUAGUAGAUAUAGUAGCAAUGUAUUUCUAUCUACCUUUCUAUCUAUCUAUCUGUGCCAGCUUGGACCUAGUGGGAAAACCGGCGGCGUCGGCGGCCGAACCCACUGGGAACUAUAUUUAUAUAGUUCUCACCCCGUGUGGUUUUGGGGUAUAGGUACACACGAGAGCGUACCGGCAGAGGACCGUGGUAAGGGCACAGCGCCCUAGUAGCUAGUAGCUUUCCUUAUGCAUUAGAGUGCCCUCGUGUACAUAGAGAUGUAAAUGUAUUUGGAAGUUACUUAUGUAUUUGGAAAGACAUUUUGUAUUAUGAGAAUAAUAUGUAUUCAUUUGGGAAGAUGAAAAUGUAAAUCAAUAUGAAAAUUGAGGUUGAAUGAAUGUAAUAGCUAGAUGUAUCUCUCUUUAUUUCACUUGUAUGUUACUUGUGAUUCUUGCUCUUAGAUGUAUUGCACCUGUGUGCAUCGUGUUCGAUCAUGUAUGUUAUUUAAGCAUUCCCUGGGCGCUUAACUGUACAUGAUCUGGUUGCUUAGCCUUGGGCGGACAGGAGAGGUGCUGUCCGUUCGGCGUCUGAUCGACGUGCCCGGAUCUUGCCAAAUUGGCGGGUCGCGGGGCGUGACAGAUGGUCGUGGUAUCAGAGCAAGCUAAGAGCAAGUAAAGAGAGAGUUUAGGAUGACCUAGGAGACCCUAGGACAGUAAACCGUAAGGUUAUAGGUGCGUGAGUGGAACGUGAACCUAUAACGGUGGCGGAAGUUGAAUCGAUUGGGUCAAGUUAGUAAACCUCUAAGACAGAUGUUAGAGGUGGAUUCAAGGUUCAAUUUAUUCUCACUAGAGGAUGUUCAUGUUGGAUGCAUACAACAUGAAACCGAGAGAUGAGAAUAGGCACCCUUGUAUGACUUUCGCCUGAUUUGAGUCAAGCUGAUGUUAGUUGUUACGUGUUCGACCUAGAGGGUCGAGACCAACUGUGUUGUCGCGGUUUAGGAGAUCGACAAUGGUACCGCGUAGGCGAUCUUCGUUUAGAUCGGCGCGGGACGGGACAAGUGAUGUCCCAGAACGAUUCAAGCGAGCGGAGAAUGCAAACUUCGCUAUUGGUUGGCCACGCUCGUGGGAGUGAUGAGGCCACGAGUCGGUGGAUCGGUUGGCGAUCGCACCAGUUUUGGCACGUCGAGUACGGCCGGGAUUCGCGACGGAGGUGUUUCCGUCGGGGUCGGGCAAUCCGACUUCUAGCACUCCAAAGGUUGAGGCGGUGAGGGAGCGAGCGUCGAUGGCCCUCAUGAUUUUUACGGAAUUUGAUCCGCCUACCUUUGAUGGAGAGAAUGUAGAUCCGCAGAUUGUGGAGUUGUGGAUUGAUUCCAUGGAAACUCUAAUAGAGGAUCUAUGCUUAGUGCAAACGGGAGUUCUCCCAUAUCUCCAGUUACAUCCUAAACAUAGUACGGGAUGACGACGAUAUGGCCGAUUUGUUUGUGCGGAGACUUCGGCUAAAUAUUGUCAAGGUUGUGCAUGUAAGGAAGUGAAUUCUCGAAAUUUGAGAGUUUGACUUCGUUUAAAAUCGACCAUGUGUCGAGUUGGUGCACUUCGGAAUGUCCGAAAAUGCCAAAGAGGCAAAGAGUGCAUCGUAACGGACCUCGCCUUUCCCGUCUGUUGCAUCGGCUUUGGCGAUUUCGGGCCAUUAUGAAGGAGCCCUACCUACUGUUGCUUUAGCUAGACGCGCGAUGGCACCUCGUCAGCCAGAGGUGGCCCGUCGACUACGAGUGGCUGGGUGUUUGCCACUCAAGUCGAGGAACUUGCUGCCGCUAAUGAUGUCUUGGUAGGUAUGGCUUAAUACAAGCAAGCAGGUAUUUCGGCGUAAUGCGGAAUAGAUGCAUUGCAGACAUUUCCAUGGUCAGUUGCUACUAAUUAUGCAUUAGUAUAGUAGGGACCAGUGGANUCUUGCUUCUUCUUCUUCUUCUCCAAGCCCUAGAGCAAGAGUUCUAGAGAGAGAAAGAGAGGAAAAGGGAGAGAAGGGUAAAAUGGCUGUGGGAGAGAGAGGGGUGUCCACAUAUAGUGUUGUGACAAUUGCAUUUAAGCCCCUCAACUUAUUUCCCCUUGAUCUGCCCAGACUGGGCGUUUUUCGCCUUCGGGGACCAGUCUCCCCGACCAGGGACCGGUUCCCGAACGUGGGUGUUCCAGGACUUAGCCAAAUUUUCUAGUCUUUCGGCUGUUGCACAGCGAGGGACCGGUCUGCCCCUUCAGGGACCGGUCUCCCAAGGACCGGUCUCACUACCAGGGACCGGUUGCCUCAAGACUUCCUGGCAGGCUACGCGUACGGGGACCGGUCUCUCCUUCAGGGACCGGUCCCCGAGAGCACAAAAUCUGGGACUUAGCCAGAUUUCCAGAUUACUCUCUCGGGUCCCUUUUAGCCUCACUUAUGGACUCUAAUGUGCUCAUGGUCCACUCAAACUCAUUCAUCUCCGCAGUCCGCUCAUUUCGACGGAACUCGGCACGAUUUACGAGGGAUGUGGUAUGUUACAUGGAGGAAGUAGCACCAAGGAGUAAAAGAGAAGAUCAAACCACUAAAUAUCAUGCAAAAAGGGGAUCAAAUCCAAAGAGGGGAAAACAGGAGGUCCCCUACCUUGUCUCCACUGCCUCUCAGCUCAGGGAAGGCCCUAAGGAGCGUGGGGUAUGUAUAGAGUUGCUACAAAAGCGAAUACACCCCUCAAAGCUGCAGUUCUCGCAGUCUGCCAAAGUGUAGCGGUACACGGAAAAGUGUACCGGUACAAAUCCCGCGAACUCACAAACCCGACCUUCGGGUUGGCUAAAAACCACAAAUGUACCGGUACAACUAUCAAAGUGUACUGGUACAAAAUGUGUUCCAGUACAACCAUCAAGAUUGUACCGAUACACAACCCUGCUGAAGCAAACCCGAGAGCAAACCAAACAUUCAACUUUUUGGAUUUUGGUGCACAGUUAUAAACCUCAAUUCUCGGGAUGUGAGCCAUAGGUCGGAACACUGUCUACGACCCUCCAGAAUAUCUGGAAAAACUCAGAUCACAGAUUAAACAAUCGAACCUUGCAAUUUGCAAAAAUCCAGUGUGUUACAUUCUCCCCUCCUUAAAAGGAGUUUCGUCCGCGAAACUGCGGGUCAACCACGAAACAGACCCAUCCAAAAAGGAUGGAAGAAGCGCUCCAACAGCGCAUAGAUCAGACCAUGAAGGUCUCAAGCAUGACGGAAUGCUCCUCGGCAAAACACACAAGGUCCCACGAUGCCAAGACUUGGCAUAACUCAAGUAAAGCUUCCACUGAAGUUCUUCGAACUCAAGGCUUUACCGGAAGUUCCAUCUCUAGUCCGUGCCUGAUCACCAAGUCCAUCAGUCGGUUCUCACGAAACCAAGUAUUCCCAAAAGCUGAAUUCUCGUUCUCACCUUCCUCGUUCAAGUCGAGGGUAGGCCUUGCUCUGCUUCAAUUACUCUAGUAUAUAGAAUUCCAUCCAAAUACCUGUAGGAUACCGAACUUCUAAAAUUAUGAAGUUACGGUGGGAUGUAAUAUGCGGAUUUUAAUGUAAAAAGGGAAAUAAAUAAAAAUAGUAUGAGAUACUAUUUUUAUUAGAUUUAGAGAAGUGAAAUAUAAGUUUGGAAUGACCCGUGUUGAAAUCAGAGCGAAAACAGAAGAUUUAGAUUUUCUGUGAGAAACGGGGCAGAUAAAUUAGCAGAAAAUGCACAGUCUCAGAAAAUUAUGAAAACUAGCGGGGAUGCCAGAAAUAUUUUAAUGAGGCUAGAUUUAGAGUUUCAUAUUUUUCUGACACCCGUAGAGUGAGAACUAAAAUCCGACAGUUAUCUGAUAAAGAUUACAGUUCGGUACAGCUUUCGGUGACCAAACGGGGUCGAAACUGAAAGAUUAAAAUUUCUUUCGUUAAGUUAAGCAAAACCGAAUAUGACUGUCAAAUUUGAGCUCAAACGGAUAUUCAGGGAGUUCCGGCGAAAGAUAUCAGAUUUGGAGCUGCCUGAUGUGAAUAGUGUAUGCUACUAUUGAGGGUUGACUAUAAGUAGAAGCUUCUAGUGACUUGGCUUCUUCUUCACAGCCAAGCACCACCCCCACAAGAGCACGUUCAUGGUGUAGUGAGAGAAACCCUCUCUUUCUCUCUCUAAAUAUCUCUCUCAUCUCUCUAGAUCUUUCGCCCAAAUUCGCGGCGUUGGUGGAGAUCGAGCUUGCGAACGCGUUGGGAGCGACGGAUCGAGUUUUCGUGCGCCCGUUGGAUUGGCGUGCUUUCGUCUCGGCGUUCAUAUUUUGGUAAGCUAUCGGGAUUUGGCUUAAUCCUUAAGUUUAAGUGUUCUAAUAGCCUCUAAUGUGAAGUUAGCUUGUUAAAUCCUUAAUAUUUGGAUUGUUUGGAGCAUAUGUUGAGGCUAAGGUGUGAAAAUGGGGGUUUACAAAUUAGGUGGGGUUUGAUCUAAUUUGACCCUUCGUAAACCUAAUUGCUAGGUAAACGAACGCGUUGGUGAAGUCGGUUCGGCGAUUCGUCGAGCCUACGCGAAGUUAUUAAAGAAACAGACGUUUAGGCUUCGUUUCCGCCUGGAGGGCCGAGGCGACGUCGUAAAAUCAUGAAAAUGGAUUUGAAGCAUCGUGGCACAUAACCGAAGACCUUUAAUUUUCGGAUCGUGAAUUGGAGGCCGUUCGGGUGGUCGCGCGAGAGAUCGGGCCAAACCGGGUGCCGGGUGCCGCGGGAGGCCGAUUGCAAGUGUCGACAAGCAAUCGGAAUGCGAUAAAAGGUGGGGGGUGUCAUCCCGAAGCAACUGAGCUUCCUUUUAUGUCUAAGUUCUAUAUCUUGAUCAUAUUCCUAUAUGUUGAUAUAUUGUGCAUUAUAGGAUUAGUAGAUGAUUACAUUUCCAUUCCUUGCAUGUUACCUAGGUUGUGUAGCAUUGUGGGCUUGACACUUGAUCUUAGGUUGCAUGAGGAUUGGGUCUUGUGACAAGAAUCCUAUAGUGACAAGAAUGAUGAUGAACUUGGACAUGUAAUUGGCCUAGACGAGUGGCAUUUGGACUAGUGUAACAAAGACACUAUAAUAUUGACGAGUGGCAUGUCGAUUUAGUGUAUUAAGACACAUAUAACAUCAUGACAUAAACGAGUGGCAUCAAAUCUAGUGUAGUGAAACACUAUGGCAUUUGAACCUAGGGAUAGUAGAUUUUCCCGAUUGUCAUGUUGUAGACAUUAUGCAUUUGGCAUUAGUGCAUUUGAGGCAUUGAUUAUGCAUUUGGUAUUGUGCAGCAGAGGCACAUUGACCCUGGUAGAUAGGGUAUCCUCUUGUGAGGAUUGGAUCAUACUCACUAGUCUGUUUUUGCUUGUCGGUGGUCGCUCCACCGAAGCACGAGUCUCCGGAGUACUUCACUAGGGGCAGACGUAGUUGUCCCGCAGACGGUCUCGGUGUGCGAGUGCAGAUUCUCCUCACCUAUGAGAUUGAGAGUGAGUCGGGGUUGACCCCGGGGUGGCAACCUUCAGGUUAGCCAUGAGAUUGGAUACUAUCGAGGCAUAGUUGCACGACGCACUAUGUAGUAGCUCGUUCAUUCGGAUUAUUGAGGCAUAGUAGCAUGUGCAGAUACAUCACUAUGUAGUAGCUCAUUUCCAAGCAGAUUGGGUAAAGAAUAUGAAUGGCAUAGCAGAUUUGCAUUCAUACCUUGAGUUGACAUUGAGACAUAGUAGCAUGUUGUAGAUACAUCACUAUGUAGUAGCUCAUUUCCAUUAUUGUUGAAGCAUAGUAUCAUGAUUAGUAGAAUAUCAUUGCUAUGUUCAUGCAUUCCAUGAUUACAGAGGCAUAGUAGCAUGUGUAUAUUCCAUUACUAUGUAGCAGCUCGUACUUAGUAGAGCGAGAUUGAGUCGGGCGAGGAGCGGGGUAGCUCUUUGCCUAGGACCUUCGAGAUUGAGUCGGGCAAGGAGCGGGGUAGCUCUUUGUCUAGGACCUUUGAGAUUUGAGAUCUUAGGCAAGUUGGCCUAGUCGAUUGGGUUGUAACAUGAAUAGCAUAAGUGGAUUGCAUUCAUGCCAUGAUUGGACAUAGUAGACUGCAUAACUAUGUUGUAGUUGUAUUUAUUACACUGUUGAAGCAUACUAGCAUGAUAGUAGGUUAUUGCUAGAUGAUGUUCCAUGCAUUCUUUGCAUUUGAUGGCAUAGUAGAUAUAGUAGCAAUGUAUUUCUAUCUACCUUUCUAUCUAUCUAUCUGUGCCAGCUUAGACCUAGUGGGAAAACCGGCGGCGUCGGCGGCCGAACCCACUGGGAACUAUAUUUAUAUAGUUCUCACCCCGUGUGGUUUUGGGGUACAGGUACACACAGGAGCGUACCGGCAGAGGACCGUGGUAAGGGCACAGCGCCCUAGUAGCUAGUAGCUUUCCUUAUGCAUUAGAGUACCCUCGUGUACAUAGAGAUGUAAAUGUAUUUGGAAGUUACUUAUGUAUUUGGAAAGACAUUUUGUAUUAUGAGAAUAAUAUGUAUUCAUUUGGAAAGAUGAAAAUGUAAAUCAAUAUGAAAAAAAUGAGGUUGAAUGAAUGUAAUAGCUAGAUGUAUCUCUCUUUAUUUCACUUGUAUGUUACUUGUGAUUCUUGCUCUUAGAUGUAUUGCACCUGUGUGCAUCGUGUUCGAUCAUGUAUGUUAUUUAAGCAUUCCCUGGGCGCUUAACUGUAUAUGAUCUGGUUGCUUAGCCUUGGGCGGACAGGAGAGGUGCUGUUCGUUCGGCGUCUGAUCGACGUGCCCGGAUCUGGCCAAAUUGGCGGGUCGCGGGGCGUGACAAUACCCCUCAAGGGUGGAUUCCAUGGUGUUGUCCAAAGCAAGCGUAAGGGGGUUAAAUCCAUUACUCAUCUAUCAAAACUCCAUCGAAGUGCUCAUCUGAUCAACACUUCCCAAGGAGAGGUGAUGCAACAUCCACUCAUCGGCUCAUAUUCCAACGAUGAUCCUUCAAAUCCAAGAUCAAGUCUCUUCUCGAGAUGGCACAACUGAGUGCAAUUCAAUCCAAGGUUAAGUAUGGUAUACCCUUUCCAUCUCGUUGCUAUUUGCAACGUCCAUCCAUCCAUCCAAUCUUGCUUGGCGCGAACGGUUCCAAAUCAACAUCCGAGGUAGCCAUCCUUCCAAUAGUAACUGGAAUCGACUCAUCGUCCAAACUCGCUCAUCAUGGCGAUUAUUUAAUUCCUCAAUCGACACAGCACUACGAUGCCUCCACAUCAAUCUCAAACUCACCACUCGGGAGUACCCUCAAAUCCGCUGCAAUACAUGGUCAGGGACCAAAGCUCAGGAGCUUCGUCAUUCCACUAAGAUCAUCAUCUUAGUCUCAACUCAAGUCCAAGUAAACUCUUCGCAAGCCUAAGCCAAAGGCUCAACUUCGAUAGAAUGUCUCAUACAUUAAUCAUUCAGUUGCUCCAUAAGAAUCAUUCAAAAAUUUUCAUCCUCAAUGCUUUCCUUAGCAUCGGAUGCUCCAAGUGUUCAUAGUCACCGAGCCCAUCUCAAGUGAUAGAGAGGGAUCAAUCCGCAAUUCAAUAAUAGCUCUCUAUCAAUGUCAUCCUAAUGUGACCAUCAACCAAAGAUACGAAUCCAACAACUCUCUCACGCAGUUCCAUCCCCCAGAUUUUAAUUCCUAGUGCAUAAACUGGGCAAGGGGAAAAAUAGCAACUUGGUAUUUUUUCCUCUCGAGUUUCUCAACCACUCGAUCCAACAGUGGGAGUUUCACACAUCGAUCAUGUCAAUCUGCCCCACAGUCGGCCCUCGCAAUCCUUCGUAGGAAUACUCACUGCUAUCCACGACCGGUUCCACAAAUCCAUCCAAAGGGCUUGGAAUUAUCAUUCCAUAAGUCCCUAACACUGGUGGAGUACUACAGGCUUAGGCAACAUCACCCUCGUGAUGUCCCCACCUAGCAUCACAAUCCGUUUUGAGGUACGACCUCAAACUCCAACAUCAAACAGUACUACUCAGAUUGCUUACAAUCUUAUCGAGUACACCAACAACUUGAGGCCAUUUGACAAGGUCAAUGAGCCUCAGCACGGUCCAAAUAUCCAAUCGUGGUUCAAUUUGAAUCACGAUAGUCGACAUACAGUCGAAACGGCCCAACCGGUCCCACAACAAGUGAAAGUGCUCCUCCGCAAGCAAAACACUAACUAUAAAACCUCCCCGCCAAUCGAGUUCACAGUUUGUGACUCGGUCGGAGACACAACGACAGAUCAAAGACAUCCUUCAUUCCGAGGAUCCUUGAUCACCAGAAACUAAUGGCCAAUUAGGCCCCAAAUCCUCUCCAACACUUACCCAAUUUUAGAUAAGGGAGACAGUCAAUGCUACUAGUGGAAAUAAAUCCUCAAAUCGCACUAUUUCAUGCUCAAAAUCCUCGAAGCUAGUCAAGUCAGCUCGCAAUACCAAAGGUACCAAGUACCUAUAAUCUCCACACCAAGUAAGGCCAAUCCAUUUGUUGGCGUACAAAAUCCUCUCAAAGGGUAGGGUGUUCAAAAUGACACACCCGGUCUUCCGAUCAUCCUACAUGCAUCGAAAAUGAUCAAUGCAAACAAAUCCUCGGGUCGGGUCACUACACACUCGGUGUAUCCUCGAUCCCAUGAUCUAACACGUGGCAUACCACACUCCUGGGUCUAAGCUCAGACUACCGUCCUGACCAAAACUCUGCCCUACCCGUAGGUACCGGGCUGCUGUCGUACACAGCUGACUGCGCCUGCCCAAAGGGCCCAGGCUCCAUAGUCUACAAACGGUCCAGGCACGGGACGUCCCCAAGCUCCAACCGGCAAACAGCCGACCAAGGGAUGCAAACAAUACAAUCAUCGUGAGAUCCACAAAGCAUAGCAAAACAUGCUACCCGCAACCCGCAAAUCAACCUCCUAACUCGGGAGGUGCCAAUCAUCAUCGCAAACAGCGAUCAAACGGUAUGCCAUACAACUCGGCGAAUAGCCGAUCAAAGAAUAGAUGCAAUGCACUGGUAUAAAAUAAUGCACAAAUCGAAUGCCACAAAACAGACAGAUACCUGUAGCCACAAGCUCGGCUGCUGCCGCCUCCGCGGUCUGGGCUGCAUACAUGCGCCCGAUCGGGGCCUGCCGUGACCCCUCCGUCUGUCUCUGGACAGGUGGCCUCCCGGCCUGAUUGUGAGUAGAAGGCGUCCCCUGGCUGGGACCCGGUAACACUGGUGCUGAUGCAGAAGAUGGCCCUAGUACUGAACCCCUCGGGCAGUCCGACUGGAUGUAGCCCUCCUGACCACACAAGUAACACCUGCCCUGCCUCUAAGAGCACUAUCGUGGGUAAUGACGACCACCGCAGAUCACGUAACUUAGAGUCUGGCGACGCUCAGAUCCUCCACGCUGUGCAGAUGAGCCACGUCCUCGCGAUUGGCUCCUGUUCCUAGAAUAUCUCGGCGGCCUCCCAGAGUGCGUCUGACUCGCACCCUCAGCCGCAGGCCUCUUGCCUUUUCCUUUGUCCGAGCCUCUUCGACGCUCUUGCAAGUCCGCCGCGCCGCUCUUCACGAUGAACGCGCGGUUCACCACAUCUCAGUAAGUCUGAAGGUUGGAGGAUUGCACCAACCAAAAGAUCGAUGGCCGUAGUCCUCGCUCAAAGAUGCGGGCCUUGUCCUCGUCAUCCCGCACAACGAAGGGCACAUAGUGUAAAAGCCGAGAGAACUCCCUCUCAUACUCGGUCACAGUCCUAUCCUCCUGGCGCAUAUUGCGCAGAUCCUGCUCCAUCUUCCUCUUGACACUGUCGGGGAAGUAGUGCUCUAACAGAAGUUCCUUGAACUUCUUCCACGUAAUCGCCGCAAGGUCGGUGUUGGGGUUGUCCUGGAUACCCAACCACCAGCUGUAGGCCUCGCCGUCCAAAUAGUGAAUAGCGAGCCAAACUCUGUCCCUCUCCUCCACGAAAGUGUCGCGGAAUAACUUCUCCAUGUGCAUCAACCACUUCUCAACGAUCCAGUGGUCGGCUUUCUUUCCAUCGAAGAUCCUGGGGCUACACCUCCUGAACUCAUUGAGGCGAUUCAUGAGCCGCUCCUGCUCCGCCCCCUCAACCAUCAUGGGAAAAACCGCCACUGCCACAGGCACCUGUGCUGGUGGUGCCGCAAAUACCUUCUCCCGAGGUGCUACCGCAAAUGCCGUCGGCAAAGUGCCGAGUGCAGGGGACGACCCCCUAGGUGCAACCGUCUCUACCGGCGCUGGUGGUACAGGGGCCUGAGUCUCCCUGGCAGCCGCCUGCUGUAGUAGAAGAUCCUAUAGGCGCUGCAUCCGUGCCUCCUGCCAGUGCGCCGCAUCUGCAUGCUGUCGAGCCGCCGCCACCUGCUGCGUCACCAAGUCAGUGAGGGCCACAAGCUGGCUCCUCAACUCACGGACCUCGCCAAAUCCGAAGGUAGCGGAUGUCUCCGCCUCCUCAAAGGUUGCCGCGUCGUACGCUCCAACAGACUUAGAGCGUACAGUCAGCAUCAUCACAUCAACAUCAUAAAAGCGCAAGUUAAUAAAACCCACGCUAUCGCAACCCCACUCAAAUACCAAUGCCCAAAUCCUACGAAAGUAAGGAAGUGUCUUAUACUGCUAACUCCCGAUGUUACGUUGUCGGCCACCAACGUAACCCUCCGCGUAGUUAGAAGCCAUACACUUCAAUCGAACUCCAACUUCUUGGAGUUAUCAAAGAAACCCAAUCAUGAUACUUUCGCUUACAAAUCAAAUAGACCUCGUCUCUCACGAGUCUAAUUCCUAUAGUCCAAUCGGCCUAAGAUUUGCUAGGUCCGCUAAGACUCAACCCUAGGCUCUGAUACCAAAUUAAUCUGUCACGCCCCGGGACCAGGCGUAGGCCCGCCCGGUGCGUGCCCAGACCCGCCAUAUGUCUGCACAUAUAAGGCGUCUACAACAAAAACGGAUAAAUGAACAAGAAGUUGAAAGUAUCUAGAGAUAUUAGAGCAAAUACACAGCUAGGUUCUAUCGACAAGUAGAGUCAAAAAGAGAACUGAACCACUAAAGCAUAAAGUAAACUAAUACAUCAUAAAUCUCAAGAUACAAAAAUAGGGUGGUCUCUAUAACCAGGAACAAAACUCUCACAACCUCUCCAAAAGAAAACAAAAGAGAGGUGGACCACCUAUCACCAAGUCCCUCGAUAGCUAACUCGAGGCGAAAUCUUUUCUGCGAUCCCAAGCCUCUUCCGGAGUGGAAGUGUCACGCCCCGGGACAAGCGAAGGCCCUCCCGGUAGCGCGCCCAGACCCGCCAUAUGUCUACACAUAUAAGGCGUCUACAACAAAGGCGGAAGUAAAGCAAGAAGUAGAACAAAUAGCAUAAUGAUAACUAAUGAUAUCAGAGCGAGUAAAGUUCUAUCAUCUAAACCAGAGUAAAAGAAACAUAACUAAACAAUAAAAGUAGCCAUAAAGUAGUACAAUACUAUCUCCUCAAAAGGAAAACAAUGAUCCAAAAGAAUGGUGGUCUCUAUACAUAAACGGGUACAACUCACAACCUCUCACAAAAUAAACCACGAGAGGUAGACCACCUAUCAAAUCGUCCUCGAAGGAAGCUAGCUCGAAGCAACUCCCUUCCCGCGGUCCCUAGCCUCUCCCGACGUGGAAGGCUCUGAAAGAAGACAUAAAACAGAGGGCGUGAGAACUAUAAUUUAUAGUUCCCAGUGGGCAAUUACUGACCUCAGCUCAUUGCACCACUAGGCCCAAAAGAAAAGGGGUAAGUAACGACAAAUAGUGAUAAGCGAUAAUUGGCGAGUAUAAAAACUGCUGAAAGGAAGCAUGAAUGAAAUGCUAUACUACUAUGUCUCCAAUAAGCAUGAUGUCAUGGUGAUGUACAUCUACGCUAUCAUAAGGUAAUAUAUCCAAUGCAUACUAAUAUGCCUCAACAUGAUGAACAAGUAAACCUCACAAUACAAUAUAUCAAGACAACCCAGUAUACUAUGAUGCAAUGCAUGAAACCGGCAAGAGUACUAUAUAGCCCAAUGCUAUAUCAUGAGCAUGUCAAGUAAUCUAACUACUAAGCCUAUCUAGUAGUGAUUAUUCAUCCUCAACACUGUGUCGAUUUCCUUUUCCAAUUAAGGACCUACCAAAGGUAGUCCAGCUUGUGCCGCCUAAGUGCCUGUGGUAGCCCAACAUCCCUACUCUUGGAAUAUGUCUGUCCCACUCGACCCCGUAGGCUUCUCAAUACCGCACGAGCGAACAUAGGUCGCGUAGGCUAACUCCGGAGUGUCGGCUUGUAGGGAGCGACCAUCACAAGCAUGUGCGAAUGAGCACAAAUGGCAAGCAAGCAUAGUCCAAGUCUCAAGUAUCCAGUCCUCAUGUCUCUAACCUGGUAUAGCCACUAGCAUCUCGAAGAUCUAGUUCUAAGUCACAAAUGAAGUUCCAAUAUUCUCUAAGUCUAGUUGUCACGCCCCGGGACCGAUACCAAUUUGGCCCGAUCCGAGCACGUCAAACAGACGCCGAACGGACAGAGUUUUCCCUAUCCGCCCAAGGCUCAUCACAUGUACAUUUUCAUCAAUAGAGAAAAGCACUAGCGGAAACAUACAUAAACGGCUUACACGAGGGUAAGCAAUAGCCAUUAGUGAAAGAAAGGAAAACUAAACAUCUACGCAAGUAACAUGAUUCAUUUUAGAUCAUAUACAUUGCAUUCAUAGCUUACAUUUUGGAUUCUUUGCAUUUCAUUACAUCACUCCAUCAUUUCUUUCUUACAUCACAUAUACCUCAAAAUACACAUUACAUUCUUUUCUUUACAUCAUUCAUCAUCAAGUACAAAAGAUGAGCAUAGGGUACUUUACUACAAAAUGAACCCAACUGUGGUGGCCUCUGACUAAGGCGCGAUACCUUUACCUCGGUCGCUCGCCGGCUCGCUCCGUCCCAGGGCUUUGUGGAAAUAGUGAGGUGAGAACUACAACGAAGUUCCAGUGGUUCGGCCUCAACAUCACCGACUUCCCCACUAGACUAACUCAGGCAUAAUAGAAAGGUAAGCAGGAUAUAGUAACCAAUCUAUAACAUGAUGCUAAUAUGCCUGAACAAAUAGCAAGAAGUAUGCUCACAUUAAAUAAAUGCAGACUAGCAAACUCAUUCGUUUUUUGACUUUACUUUGUCUUUGUUCUUUAUUCUUUGCUCUCUGUCUUUGUUCUUUAAUCUCAAGCUAACCGGAGUUUCGCCACAUAGCUUGCUUCACAAUUAAUCCAUCAUCGCAGGAACUCACCAUACAGGACCGUCCUUUGGUUUACUCCAACCCGUGAUGCAUUAACUCCGGAGCGCAUCGCCCGAGGGGACGACCGCCCUCGAGCACGCGAACAUAGGCAAGUAUGAUCAUAUCCUUAAUCAAAGGAUCAUAAUUCUAAUCUUGACUUUACACUAGCUCUAGUGUUCUUUACAUCACUUUAUGUUGCAAACUCAUGCACUCACAUUCUUUACAUUUUCAUUACUCUUGCUAACCCUAGCAUUCUUGUUCUUUACAAUUCUUGUUCCUAUUGCCCCACUUUACUUUAACUUCACCCGUUGUCAUUUUCAUCAUUCUUUUCAUCACUUUAGUUCUUUACAUCACACUAACUCUAGUGUCAUUUCACAUUAGCUUUAUCGAAUGCCACUCGAUCUAUGUCCUUGUGUCACUCUGUUCUUUUGCUCACUUUGGGUGCUCACUUUUCUCUCAUGCAUACACAUAGGGUUUUCGACAUCACAUAGUUCCCAUUCAUCAUAUUAUGCAAGUUGUACUCACAAUCAUGCAUCAUUACAUUUUCAUCAUACUUUACCCUAAAAUGCAUGCAACAAAUAAUAUAUACAUGCUCAAAUGAAUGACACAUUAGGCAUAGAGAGAAGUUCAAUAAGUUUGAGAAGCACCACCCACCUCGUAGGCUUUCAAAGGUGCUCCGAUAAUUUUCUUGGGAUUUUUAGUCACCCGGUUCACUAUCUGCGGCAAAACGAAGCCCUAUUAGACCAUUUUGCUCAUAUCUUUACUUUGGCUUCUCGUAACGUUAGUCCGAACGCACCAACGCGUCGGAAAUACCCCCAAUUAGGUUUUUGAAAGGUCAAUUUCACAUAGAAAUCCCCAUGAGUAAAAGCCCCAAUUUGGGUGCCCUAGCUCCAUUGCAUGUGUAAACCUAGGGUUCGAUCUCAUUGGGAAGCAAAAGUAGCUUCAUUAUACUCUAAAUAGUCCAUUAGAACCAUCCCUAGCUCACUCCAAACCCUAGUUUGGAUUUCACCAUGAGAGGUGAUGAAGCUCACCUCAAGCUUCACCAUUUUCAUGGUCUUGAUCUCAAAAGAAGCAAAAAGAAAGCUUCAAAUACUCCAAAGGUUCCAUAAAAACCGUCUUCAUUCUAAUCCAAACCCUAGUUUGGAAUUAAACAUGAGAAGGGGCAAAGCUUACCUCUAAGCUUGCUCCUUUCUUGCUCUAGAGAGGAAGAAGAUGAAGCCUCUUUGCUCCUUGACCUCCUUUUUCACUUUCUUCUCCUUCUUCUCCUUGUUUUCUUCCUUUCUUCUUCUUCUCCUNUACAUAUUUCUGAACUUUCUCGUAAUAACCACCGGCCCAUACUUUUCUCUAUAACCCCUCAAGCACCGCGUUACAAAUUGCACGGUUGUUCAUUUUCGGCUCGCGGCUAAAAGCCGCCCUUUCGAUGUUUCAGAUGGUUAUGGGCAAACCUUUACCCUUCUGUAUCGUUACCUGAAACAGUGACCAAACGGAGCUAGUGUUCCGCCUGUGCUACGCCAUACCCACUAUCACCUAGCUAAUUGUUUCAGCCGCGUGAAGAACAGCUAUGUAUGAUGCACCAGCCCUCUGUUCAAUCGGGUUCACAUAGAGCUGCUCCAACACUCUGAAGUACCCCAAGGUCAUAGCUAGCACAGCCUAGCUCUGGGGUCCAAGUGUAGGGUAAAAACCUUCUCAAACGUUCUGCGCGAUCCGUGCGCCGAGCUGAAAUCGUGUCACAAAGUAGGAGUCUCACUACCUGUCAGUCUCGCCUGCUAUGUUUAGGAGCUCCUGGACGAAGCUCGUACACACGAUCUAAUGUUUCCUCCUACCGUACUAAAGAACGGAUACCGCCUCAAGCGGAUAUUGUUAUCGAUGGUUCUUUCAUAUCGCUACCGCGGAAAACUCCGUGAUAUACCAGCUUUCACAGCAAGAGGAUAGGUAACCUCGCUGCACCCGCUCUCCUGCCGAGAACCGGGCCUACAUCACGCCCUCCGCCUUCUUUUUCAAGCGGAGCGGGCGGUUGCCAAUCGCCACCGCGUCGGAGCCGUUUUCUCAAUACGGCUGUUUUCUUCUUUCCUAAAUCUCAAGCGUCAACCUCUGGCACAUAAGAACUCUCAUAGCGGCCACGCUCCUCAGUUUGCUAAACCCCAGGCACCCUUUGAUUCAGGGGCUAUACAGCCUGGCAAACUCUAUAACCUUGCACACCCACGCCACCGCAUAUUCGAGCGUGAUGGUGGCUCUGAGCGCCCUCAAGUGUUACAAAAGGUACACAGGUUAGAAGCCUUUAUAUAAGCGUUGGGCUGUGUACAUAAUCUCAUGCUCGGUCACCUCGAUGCACUUCUAUACAGAAUACUCCUCAUGGGCCACACGUAGGAGUUAGCUCUUCAAUUUUUCAACGCUUCAGCGUUCUAAGGUAUACAAUUUCAGGUCACCUCGUUGGUGCACCACGCUCUUCGGUGAACCCUCGAGCUCCUUUGGUACGCCGCUCUCAUGGGCGUAGAUAAACUCAGUUGCUCAAUUCCAUACGUAAAUUAAAGCGCCUGCUUUAAUAAAAUUCCCCACCUCUUACAUUAUAUGGCUUUUAAACCUUUUAUUUACAGCUUGAAAUCAGUUUAACUGGAUUCACGCUCCUGCCAUAUGAAGCCUUUUAGGCUUCCACAAUUUUACUAAUUUUCACUCAAUGCCCUCCAAAAGCUCUCGAUAUCUUAGUUUUAGACGUAAGACGUCAAAACUCGAGAGCCCCUGGCCAGGGACCACCCUCUCUGGCCAGGGGCUUGCGCACGUCUUAUUCUGUCGGUUUUUUAGCCGAUUCAGAACCUUCUAGUCGAGAGCCCUUGGCCAGAGACGAACUCUCUGGCCAGGCGGUCUCUGGCCAGGGUGGUCUCCCUCUGGCCAGCGUAACGCGCGUCGUCGAGACCGACGCGUCCCACCUGGAAGCCCUUGGCCAAGGCCGAGCCCCUCUGGCCAGAGACGGACGCUUUUGACGGGUCAGGUCCGUCACGUGUCUCUAUUUUCGACUCCCUAAAUCGACGUUAAAACGUUGGGUUAUCGAUACAUACUCCCGUUUACUCUAUAAAGAGAGUAAAAGAGUGGGAGAGUGUGAGAGAAGAGAGGGAGAGAGAGAGAUCUUCUGUUUCCUCUUCUUCUUCUUUCCUUCUUUUGUUCCUCUUCUUCCUCUUCUUUCACUUUUUCCUCCAGUUCCUCGUUUCUCCGAAGUAGAAGAAGGAGAGAUCUCGUUCUUUCCUCGUUCGAAUCUCCAUUCGAAACGGGGAAGAGUACAAAUUAAGGUUUGAUCCCAAAUUUAGUGCCGCCGGGGUGUAUGCUAUAAGGGGAUUGGUGCGCUUCUUGCAUAAUCGCCCUUCGCAACUCCUCAUCCUUUGGUACACACCAUCGAUUUCAAAAUCGAAGUGCGCCAUUAGCUCCAACGACAAAAUCUUCGGCCUUACCGCUCUCAACAUCACCUCGAACCUUUUGGAGAUAAGGAUCCGAAGCUUGUAACUCUUUGAUUCUCUCAAAUAGGGUCGAUUGCACAACUAAUGCGGCAAGUGUAGCCGGUACUCCCGGCGCCACCACUUCCAACCCGAACCGUUGCAUCUCCAUUUGCAAUAGCGGUUGAGGCGUAAUCGCCGUCGCUAAGUUCUCCGCCGAUUUUCUACUUAGACCAUCGGCCACAACUUUGGCUUUUCCGGGGUGGUAUAGUAUGGUGACAUCAUAGUCCUUUAGCAACUCUAACCACCGCCGCUGUCGCAUGUUCAACUCUUUCUGGGUGAACAAGUACUUUAGACUUUUGUGAUCGGUGUAUACCUCACAAUGUUCACCAUACAAGUAAUGCCUCCAAAGCUUUAGCGCGAAAAUCACCGCGGCUAACUCGAGGUCAUGGAUUGGGUAGUUCUUCUCAUAACUCUUUAACUGGCGCGAUGCAUAAGCAAUGACUCACCCAUUUUGCAUUAAUACACACCCGAGUCCAACGUAAGAGGCAUCACUGUACACUACAAAAGUCUCCCCCGGAGUCGGCAAGGCAAUCACCGGGGUUGACGUUAAUCUGUUCUUUAACUCCUCGAAGCUUCGAUCGCAAUCGUCGCUCCAAACAUACUUUACUCCUUUAUGUGUGAGGCGCGUUAGUGGAGUGGUUAUUUUGGCGAACCCCUCCACGAACCGCCGGUAAUAGCCCGCAAGUCCAAGAAAACUGCGGACCUCCGCUACAUUCGUCGAGCGAGGCCAAUCCUUGAUCGCCUCUACUUUCUUCGGGUCUACUGACACUCCGUCGCCCGACACCACAUGGCCCAAAAAUGUGACCUCCUUUAGCCAAAAGUCACACUUCUUUAACUUUGCAUAGAGCUUCUCCUGCCUGAGUAUCUGCAACACAGCUCUGAGAUGCUCUUCGUGCUCCUCUUCACUUUUCGAGUAAACCAACACGUCGUCUAUAAACACUACGACGCAUCGAUCCAACAAUGGCCUAAAGACUCGAUUCAUCAAGUCCAUAAAUGCUGCCGGGGCAUUAGUAAGCCCAAACGGCAUUACCGUAAACUCAUAAUGGCCAUACCGCGUACGGUACGCUGUUUUAUGCACAUCUUUCGGCCUGAUCUUUAAUUGAUGAUACCCCGAUUGGAGAUCAAUCUUCGAAUACACCUUGGACCCUUGCAACUGAUCGAAUAGAUCGUCAAUCCUUGGCAACGGGUACUUGUUCUUUAUCGUUACUUUAUUCAACUCGCGAUAAUCUACGCAGAGUCGAAGUGUGCCAUCAUUUUUCUUCACAAAUAGUACCGGAGCUCCCCACGGUGACACACUCGGCCUCACGAAGCCUUUAUCGAGCAAGUCUUGUAGUUGACCUUUUAGCUCCUUUAGCUCCACCGGUGCCAUUCUAUACGGCGCCUUUGAAACUGGUUCUGCCCCGGGAAUUAAGUCAAUGACAAACUCAACUUCCCGGUCCGGUGGCAGUCCCGGUAACUCCGCCGGAAAUACAUCCGGGUACUCGCACACUACUCGGAUAUCCCCCAGCUCUGGGUACUCCUUUCGAGCAUCCACCAUGGUUGCCAAAUAGGCCUUACACCCUCCUUUGAUCAUUCUCUUCGCCCUCACAGACGAUAUAGUCGCCGCAAAGCGUCUACUUUUGCACGCUUGGUAGAUUAACUCUUCUUGAUUAGGCUCACGAAAAGUGAUCACCUUGCUUUCACAAUCUAUGACUGCAUAGUACUUGGAGAGCCAGUUGGUCCCCAAGAUAACAUCAAAUCCCCACAUCUGGUCUAGCACUAGCAGAUCAAUUGGCAUAAUCCAAUCGCCUAUUUGCACUGGACACGCCAAACACUCAUUAUGGACACUGAAUGAGUGCUCUGGAGCGUUCACCCACCAAUAAUCCUCAUUGUAUACCAUCUCUAUGCCAUGUGUCUUAGCAAAUGAAGUGCUAAUGAACGAAUGAGAUGCGCCUGUAUCAAACACUGCUCUAGCCCUAGUGCCUUUAAUCACAAUUAUACCUGCCACGACGUCGUCGGGUGCUGCAGGCUGUUGCUCCUCCACCUGAGCGGCGAAGACUCGGCCGCUAGGCGCUCUCGAUCCCUCCGGCUGGCGCGGUGAUGACGCGCGCCCAGCCGACAUCGCCGGUGGUAACCCAGCAAGCUGUCUCGGGGUAGACGGUGCUGAUGCCGCCGUCGGCGUAGACGACGUCCACGACGGGCACUCCCGAAUAAGAUGUCCCGGUUGGCCGCACUUGAAACACUUGCCGUCUCGCUGGGGGCAAGUCGACACCUUGUGCUCACCACCACAAAUAACACAUCGAGGUGGUCUCCAAUUCCUCACUUGCUGUCGGGGAUACCGAGGGGUUUCUUAGCAUUUGGCCGGCCCCCGGCACCGCCCGCCGUCCUCUUCUUGCCUUUGUCCCUGGACUCGGCAAUAGCCUCCCAUUCUUCGCGUACAUGGGCGCUACCGUGCUCCGCCCACAAAGCUCUAUCGAAGACCUCCGCAAAGGUCGACAGCUUCAAGAUCUGCACCUUCUCAUAAAUUCGGGGUUGGAGUCCUCGCAAGAACCAAUCCGCCCGAUCCCGAUCAUCACGAACAACGUCGGGAACGCAGUCAAUAAUGUGAGAGAAUUCUUGCUCAUACUCUCCCACCGAUCGAUCGCCUUGUCUUAAGUUGCGGAACUUUUCUUGUAGCCUCCGCUUCACCGUGUCGGGGAAGUAGUUCGCGAACACCGCUCUCUUGAACUCUUCCCAAAGCAUGAGCGGAAGAUCGGUAGGACGACCCCGCUUCACUCGCUUUCACCACACCUUUGCCGCUUUCUCAAGACAAUGGGUGGCGAGGUACACUUUGUCUUUCUCCGAGGUAUUUAGGUCCUCGAAGAGUGUCUCCAUCGAGUCGAUCCACGACUCCACAACCGCUGGCUCCACCAAACCGCCCUCGAAGGUAGGUGGGUCGAACUUCUUGAACUGAAUGAGAGCCGCCAAAGUGCGCUCUCGCUCCGCAUCGAUUGCCACGCUAUCGGGAUUAGAAGUUCACGACCCGGCCGGUACUACCGUAACUGGAACAGCCGCUGCUGCUGCCGCUCCCUCAACAACACUCGGCACUACCACAGGGGGCGCGACAUGGUCGACGCCCGCCUGGGCCGCCGUCGCUUGCUGACGCUCCAAGGUCUCCUGGAGCCGCUGAAUCUGCUCCCCUUGGCGUUGAACAGACUCCGCUUGCUGCCGCACUACGCCAAUAAGCGCGGCCAUUUGUUCCCUAAGCUCUCCGUCGCCACUUGCUCCGGAUUGCUCGGGUACCGCAUUCGCUUCCUCUGGCAUCGACCUUGCCUGCGAUCGACGUCGGGGUGCCAUUGCUUCCUGAAAUGAAGCAACUCGUAUUAGUCACUUGACCAACAUUACUUGACCAUACCCAAUUAGGCGAAAGCAACAUGCACAUUCAUCCUUGCCUCAAGCGUCAUGUCGUCGGCCGCCCGACACAACACUAGAAGUAGAGGAUAAACAAAAUUAAACCUAGCCUCUAAUCACAUUAGAGACAUCCCAACUUAACCCAAUCACAUGCUUUCGCUAACUUUGAUUCAACGUCACUCGCGUUUCCUAGAUCCUUAAGGCCUUCCAAUCCUAUAGGUCUCUAGGUCCAUUCCUAUUCUUUCACUAUUGGCUCUGAUACCACGCUAUCUGUCAUGCCCCGGGACCGAUACCAAUUUGGCCCGACCCGAGCACGUCAAACAUACGCCGAACGGACAGAGUUUCCCCUAUCCGCCCAAGGCUCAUCACAUGUACAUUUUCAUCAAUAGAGAAAAGCACUAGCGGAAACAUACAUAAACGGCUUACACGAGGGUAAGCAAUAGCCAUUAGUGAAAGAANNNNNNNNNNNNNNNNNNNNNNNNNNNNNNNNNNNNNNNNNNNNNNNNNNNNNNNNNNNNNNNNNNNNNNNNNNNNNNNNNNNNNNNNNNNNNNNNNNNNNNNNNNNNNNNNNNNNNNNNNNNNNNNNNNNNNNNNNNNNNNNNNNNNNNNNNNNNNNNNNNNNNNNNNNNNNNNNNNNNNNNNNNNNNNNNNNNNNNNNNNNNNNNNNNNNNNNNNNNNNNNNNNNNNNNNNNNNNNNNNNNNNNNNNNNNNNNNNNNNNNNNNNNNNNNNNNNNNNNNNNNNNNNNNNNNNNNNNNNNNNNNNNNNNNNNNNNNNNNNNNNNNNNNNNNNNNNNNNNNNNNNNNNNNNNNNNNNNNNNNNNNNNNNNNNNNNNNNNNNNNNNNNNNNNNNNNNNNNNNNNNNNNNNNNNNNNNNNNNNNNNNNNNNNNNNNNNNNNNNNNNNNNNNNNNNNNNNNNNNNNNNNNNNNNNNNNNNNNNNNNNNNNNNNNNNNNNNNNNNNNNNNNNNNNNNNNNNNNNNNNNNNNNNNNNNNNNNNNNNNNNNNNNNNNNNNNNNNNNNNNNNNNNNNNNNNNNNNNNNNNNNNNNNNNNNNNNNNNNNNNNNNNNNNNNNNNNNNNNNNNNNNNNNNNNNNNNNNNNNNNNNNNNNNNNNNNNNNNNNNNNNNNNNNNNNNNNNNNNNNNNNNNNNNNNNNNNNNNNNNNNNNNNNNNNNNNNNNNNNNNNNNNNNNNNNNNNNNNNNNNNNNNNNNNNNNNNNNNNNNNNNNNNNNNNNNNNNNNNNNNNNNNNNNNNNNNNNNNNNNNNNNNNNNNNNNNNNNNNNNNNNNNNNNNNNNNNNNNNNNNNNNNNNNNNNNNNNNNNNNNNNNNNNNNNNNNNNNNNNNNNNNNNNNNNNNNNNNNNNNNNNNNNNNNNNNNNNNNNNNNNNNNNNNNNNNNNNNNNNNNNNNNNNNNNNNNNNNNNNNNNNNNNNNNNNNNNNNNNNNNNNNNNNNNNNNNNNNNNNNNNNNNNNNNNNNNNNNNNNNNNNNNNNNNNNNNNNNNNNNNNNNNNNNNNNNNNNNNNNNNNNNNNNNNNNNNNNNNNNNNNNNNNNNNNNNNNNNNNNNNNNNNNNNNNNNNNNNNNNNNNNNNNNNNNNNNNNNNNNNNNNNNNNNNNNNNNNNNNNNNNNNNNNNNNNNNNNNNNNNNNNNNNNNNNNNNNNNNNNNNNNNNNNNNNNNNNNNNNNNNNNNNNNNNNNNNNNNNNNNNNNNNNNNNNNNNNNNNNNNNNNNNNNNNNNNNNNNNNNNNNNNNNNNNNNNNNNNNNNNNNNNNNNNNNNNNNNNNNNNNNNNNNNNNNNNNNNNNNNNNNNNNNNNNNNNNNNNNNNNNNNNNNNNNNNNNNNNNNNNNNNNNNNNNNNNNNNNNNNNNNNNNNNNNNNNNNNNNNNNNNNNNNNNNNNNNNNNNNNNNNNNNNNNNNNNNNNNNNNNNNNNNNNNNNNNNNNNNNNNNNNNNNNNNNNNNNNNNNNNNNNNNNNNNNNNNNNNNNNNNNNNNNNNNNNNNNNNNNNNNNNNNNNNNNNNNNNNNNNNNNNNNNNNNNNNNNNNNNNNNNNNNNNNNNNNNNNNNNNNNNNNNNNNNNNNNNNNNNNNNNNNNNNNNNNNNNNNNNNNNNNNNNNNNNNNNNNNNNNNNNNNNNNNNNNNNNNNNNNNNNNNNNNNNNNNNNNNNNNNNNNNNNNNNNNNNNNNNNNNNNNNNNNNNNNNNNNNNNNNNNNNNNNNNNNNNNNNNNNNNNNNNNNNNNNNNNNNNNNNNNNNNNNNNNNNNNNNNNNNNNNNNNNNNNNNNNNNNNNNNNNNNNNNNNNNNNNNNNNNNNNNNNNNNNNNNNNNNNNNNNNNNNNNNNNNNNNNNNNNNNNNNNNNNNNNNNNNNNNNNNNNNNNNNNNNNNNNNNNNNNNNNNNNNNNNNNNNNNNNNNNNNNNNNNNNNNNNNNNNNNNNNNNNNNNNNNNNNNNNNNNNNNNNNNNNNNNNNNNNNNNNNNNNNNNNNNNNNNNNNNNNNNNNNNNNNNNNNNNNNNNNNNNNNNNNNNNNNNNNNNNNNNNNNNNNNNNNNNNNNNNNNNNNNNNNNNNNNNNNNNNNNNNNNNNNNNNNNNNNNNNNNNNNNNNNNNNNNNNNNNNNNNNNNNNNNNNNNNNNNNNNNNNNNNNNNNNNNNNNNNNNNNNNNNNNNNNNNNNNNNNNNNNNNNNNNNNNNNNNNNNNNNNNNNNNNNNNNNNNNNNNNNNNNNNNNNNNNNNNNNNNNNNNNNNNNNNNNNNNNNNNNNNNNNNNNNNNNNNNNNNNAAAAGCCCCAAUUUGGGUGCCCUAGCUCCAUUGCAUGUGUAAACCUAGGGUUCGAUCUCAUUGGGAAGCAAAAGUAGCUUCAUUAUACUCUAAAUAGUCCAUUAGAACCAUCCCUAUCUCACUCCAAACCCUAGUUUGGAUUUCACCAUGAGAGGUGAUGAAGCUCACCUCAAGCUUCACCAUUUUCAUGGUCUUGAUCUCAAAAGAAGCAAAAAGAAAGCUUCAAAUACUCCAAAGGUUCCAUAAAAACCGUCUUCAUUCUAAUCCAAACCCUAGUUUGGAAUUAAACAUGAGAAGGGGCAAAGCUUACCUCUAAGCUUGCUCCUUUCUUGCUCUAGAGAGGAAGAAGAUGAAGCCUCUUUGCUCCUUGACCUCCUUUUUCACUUUCUUCUCCUUCUUCUCCUUCUUUUCUUCCUUUCUUCUUCUUCUCCUUUGUCUUCUAGAGAGAGAGAGGGAGAGAAGAGAGUGUGAGAGGUGAGGAAAUGAGAGAAAUAUCUCAUUUGCCCUCAUACAUAGCUAUUGGGUUGCAAAAUUGCAGCUAAACUCCUCAGCUUUUAUCUCUGUGCACUGCCUGGACUGGGCAGUUUUCGCAGGCAGAGACCGGUCUCCCCGAGCAGGGACCGGUUCCCGAAGGUCCACCCUGCGCAGCCAGAGCUGCUGCGCGCAAUGCGACUGGUCUCCCUCUGGUGGGACCGGUCUCUCGGGGACCGGUCUCUCAAGCAGAGACCGGUUCCCGAGAGCUGAUUUUCCAAGACUUAGCUGAUUUUUCGGCUGUCUUAUUCUGCACGCGUUCGGGGACCGGUCUCUCCCACCAGGGACCGGUCCCCGAGAGCUCAAAACUGCAGAAUGCAGAUUUUGAUUCUAUAGCUCUCGAAAACCUCCCGUAACUCACUUUUAAUCAUUUUAACACCUUCGGAUUUUCCGAAGUGUACCGUUCUCGCACUUAGGUCAAUUUGACUAAAGUUCGACAUUUAUUUUCCAAAUUUUCGGUAUAUUACACUAGUGCGCCUUUAUGACACUUAGACAUUUAAUGUUUAAGCAUGUUCCACAUUCCUCAAUGGCCCUAUCCACUAAGUUCACACAUGUCCCGAGCUCAAUGUCGCUUGAUGACAUUAGCUCUCUAGUUCACAUACCUUCUAGUUCAACACCUCUAAAUGGCAAUUUUGUCAUCUUUCAUGUCUCAAAUAUACUUAAGUUUUAAUGCAUGAAUCAAAGCUCAUUUACACUAUAGAAGUAUGAAGCCAAGUCUCAUAUAGAAUGCUAGAUGUAAUCAUAGAUCUCUCAAGCAACUCUCUACUAUAUAGGAGUCCAAAAUUGCACUAUAAGUAACAUAGGAAUUUUAAGCAUUCUAAAAUUCACAAUAAAUACAUAUAACAAGAAUAUGCAUGCUUUUUCAAUUAAUGAUACUUAAUUCAUCACAAAUAAGAAUUUCUCAUUGUGUGGCUAGGUCAAACCCACCGAACCGUCCACGAGUCUCAAAAUACCCUAAAAGUAUUGAGCGAAGAGAUACACGGGCAUUACGAUCAACUAUAAGAUCAAAAAUUAACCAGCAAGACAAAAAGGGCUAAAAUUCACCUAAUGUGUAGGAAAACUCUCUCAAGCUCCAAAAGAGAGCUAAAUCCCUUCCAAUCCAAGCCCAAGAAAGGUUCUAAUCCAAACAAUCUAGCCUCGAAAGCCAUAAAUCAAAAAGCCCCAAAAAUCAACCCUAAUAUCCAUUCUAGGGUUCCAUAUGGUAAAACCUACCAAAUCAAGAAUCAAAAGGUAGAAUCCAAGUACUAACCUCCCAAGAUGCCCCCAAACAAGCUCCAAAUCUUCUAGGGUUGAAGAUUGGUCCACCACCAAGCUCUACAAGCAAGCUCUAAGCCUUGCAUGGGUGGAAAGGAGAGAAAGGGGUUGAGCUCCAAGCUCCCUCAAGCAAGCUCCUCUUCUUCUUCUCCUCCUUCUUCUUCUUCUCUCUCAAGAAGGUGUAGGGUGAGGGUGAGAAAUGAGGAGGGAAGAGAGGGAAAUGGCUAAUAAGCACAUCUAGUGUAACAAAAUCCGGAGAGGCCCCUCAAAAACUCAAAAUUGCAAUAGCCCGGUCUGGGCAGUUUUCGCCCAGAGGGACCGAUCUCUCCCCAGCAGGGACCGGUCUCUCGUUGCGAACCCGAAAAACCAACGUUCGGGAACCGGUCUCUCCCUGCGCGGGACCGGUCUCUCACUGUGAAGAUGAGCUCGGGGACCGGUCUCGCCUGCCAGGGACCGAUUGCCUCAGGCUGCCACAACACUGCUCACUAGGGGACCGGUCUCUCCUUCCAGGGACUGGUCCCCGAAAGUAAAAAUUCUCAGGACUUGUCUAGAAUUCCAGUUUUCGAACUUUUUAGGUCGAAAAGUAUUCGACGACCCUCCACCAAGUGUGGAAAAGCUCGAAAUACAUCCAAGCACUCGAACCUCGCAAUUGGCAGAGGUCCAGUGUGUUACAGGAAGGCUCUGAAAGAAAACAUAAAACAGGGGGCGUGAGAAUUAUAAUUUAUAGUUCCCAGUGGGCACUUACCUUAGCCAAAUGCACCACUAGACCCAAAUCAUGAGCAGAUAUAGAUAACGAAAUAACAACUGCGGAAAUAAAAGCAUAUACUGAAAUGCUAUACUAUUAUACCACAAGUAUUCAGAAUGUCGGUAUGGAGUACAUCUACUCUACAUGAGUCAAUCUACCAAUACUUAAACAUAUAUGCUAUGAUACAACAAGUAAUACUAUAAAGUAUGCUAUAUGUCCCAAAGUCCACUACAUAUCUAGUAUGUACUAUCAUAGCAACAAGUAUACUACAAUGCAAUAUGCGAAACUAUCAAGUAUACUAUAUAUCCAAAAGUUCAAUCCUAUGCCAUAGCAUGUCACGAAUCCAACUACUAUAACCUAUCUAGUAGUGAUUAUCAACUUUUAGUUUAAUAUUCUGGUUUAAUCUCAUUUAGGACCUACACAAGUGUAGUCCGGCUUGUGCCGCCUAAGUGCCGGUAGUAGCUCCAACAUUCCCACUCUAGGAAUGAGUCUAUCCCUCCCGACCCCGUAGUGUGACGCGCUGGACCUUGCAAACUGUGGGGUUUGAGUGAUUGAAUGGGUUAUGAGCUUUUCCAAACUUUCUGGUGGGUCGUCGACAGUGUUCCGACCUAUGGUUCGAGUCCCGAGAAUGGUGGUUUAAAACCUUGCAUCAAAAUCCAAAAAGUUGGAUUUUUGGUCAGCUCUCGGGUAGCCUUCUGCAGGCUGUGUAUCGGUACGGGCUUGAUGGCUGUACCGGUACGGGGUUGAUGGCUGUACCGGUACGGGCCCGCGUACCGGUACACAGACAGCUUUUCGGCCAAACCCAAGGCUCGGGUUUGCGUUUUCGUGGGUUGUGUACCGGUACACAAACCCGUGUAUCGGUACGCAGUGCAGUUUGGGCUGUUUCGUGGAGGGGCGUUUUUGCAAUUGUUGCAACACCUAUAUAUAACACCCCACCCCCUUUGAGAGCUCUCUUGAGCUUAGACCUGUGGAGAAAAGGUGAGAACUCUUCCCCUUUGGAUUCUUCUCCAUUUUUGAUGGUUUUCUUUGUGGGUUUUGAUCUCUUUCUCCUUCUCCUUCUUACUUUUGUGGGUUUUCCACCAUUGGAGAAGCUUGAGAUCUUGGUUGGAGCUUGUUUGGAGAUCAACCUUCAACCCUAUAGAGCUUGGAGCUUGGUUUUGAGCAUCUUGUGAGGUUAGUAAACUUAAUCUCCCAUUUAGAUUAAGUUUUGAAGGUUUCUCUUGAAUGAAACCCUAGAUUUUCGAUUCUAAGGCUAGAAAUGGGGAUUUUUGAUUUGAGGGCUUUGAAACCUAAUUGAUGGGUUUAUAACCUUUGUUUAGGUUAGAUUGGAAGGACUCUAACUCCCAUUUGGAGAUCGUGAGAGCCUCCUUCGCAAUCGGUAAGUUUUCUCCAACCCUAGCUUGAGAAGCUUAAUGAUUGAGCUAUUUGCCCUUCGUUUCGUUUGGGUGACCCCAUUUUUGAUGUUUCUAGGGUACUAGGAAGCUUGUGGAUAACUUCGUUCGGCGAAACGAAGAAGUCGAUUUUGGUGGGUUUGACUUCAUGAAAAUGGGGCAAAAUGGCCCCUAUGCCUUCUAAACUUUUCGUAAAGUAUUCUUGAAUGCAAAUUCAUGCUAAACAUGAUUUAUGUGAAUUUUAGAACACUUAACAUGCAUGCCUCAUGUAUCGUAAAAUUUGUACUCCAUAUAGUAGAGCUAUAUGUGUAGAUUGCAUGCAUUGUGGAUAGUGCUUGGUUUUGCAAGUUGAGAAUAUGUCUCCAUGCUAAAAUUGAGUGAACUAUGCAUCAUAAAUAUAUUAAUGCCAUGCUUGAGACUCGUUGAACAAAAGUGUCAUAAAGGGGCACUUGGAAUUAGUAAACUAUGAAAAUGCAACUUAAAGACAUGAUGAUAGGCCAUUAUAUAUCUGCUAUAUUCCAUGUUAGAGACAUGAUGACAUAGAGAUAGGCUAUUGAGAUACUUGAUAUAUUCCAUAUUUUAGACAUGAGGACUUGGUACUUGAGAUAGAUCAUUGCUUGCUUUCCAUUGUGCUCAUUCGCACAUGCUUGUGAGGGUCGCUCCCUACAAGCUGGCACUCUGGAGAUAGCCAUCGCGACAUAUGCUCGCCCGUGCGGGAUUGGGCGCCGAAGUGGAUUGCCGUGGGGGAGGCUCAUCCCUAGAGUGGGGAUGUUGACUACCACGGGGCCAUUAGGCACGGCGCAGGCCAGACAGCCUUCGGGUGGGUCUUAUAUGAUUGGGACUUAGUGACAGAACAUGCUAUGGGAACUUUAAAACUAUUAAAGUGGAUUUGGACUAGAAUAGUAAACAAUGACAUCUUUACUAUUUUUGCAUCGAGGACAUCGGAUUGGUUGCAUUUUUAUGCUUAUGCAUGUCAUACAUAUCCAUGUACAUUCAUGAUAUCGUUGCUUUAUUACUUAAGCAAAUCAUGCUAAGUAGAGACUCUAUGUUAAUAGUAAGUUACAUUUUACUUACCUUUCGCUUUACUACAUUGUUAGUCACUGACCUCUUUUCGUAGCUUUCGGGUCUUGUGGCGCAGUUCACUGAAGUCAGUAAUUGCCCACUGGGAACUAUUUUUAAUAGUUCUCACGCCCCCGUUUUCUGGUUUUCUUUCAGAGCCUUCUGCACCGGCGGAGGCAUGGGAUCGCGGUAAGGGGAUCGCAUAGCUAGCUAGUGAGGAGCGGUUCUUGCCUAGGUGGUUUGCUCUUUCUUUUUGUAGUUGAGAGAGAGUGAGAGAUUUUGUAUCCAUGUAUAGAGACCACCUAUGUAUCUACCUUUGACACUUGUAUUUGGGAUUUCCUUUGUAUUACUUUAUGCUUUUAUUAGUGGAUUCCGGUUUUAUGCUCCUUUCUUUAUUGUAGAACUUAGUAUUAUAUCAUACUCUGAUACUCCUAGUUGUCCUGUAUUACCGCUUUAUUGGUUGUUGUUUUUAAACGCCUUAUAUGUUUUAGACGUAUGGCGGGUCUGGGCACGCGCCGGGCGGGCUUCCGCUCGGUCCCGGGGCGUGACAAAUUAAUUUGGUAUCAGAGCCUAGGGUUGAGUCUUAGUGGACCUAGCAAACCUUAGGCCGGUUGGACUAUAGGAGAUAGGCUCGUGAGAGACGAGGUCUAUUCGACUUGUGAGCGAAAGUAUCAUGAUUGGGUAUUACGAUAACUCUAAAAAGUUAGAGUUGAUUGGAGUGUUUGGCUUCUAACUUCGCGGAGGGUUACGUUGGCGGCCGACAACGUAACAUCGGGAGUUAGUUAUAAAUAACACUUCCUUACUUUCGCAUGAUUUGGGUAUUGUCUAUUUUCAGCGGGGAUGCGAUAGCGUGGGUUUUACUAACUUACGCUUCUAUGAUGUUAUAGUGACGAUGCCGAUUACUCGCUCCCAAUCUGCCGGGGCGGACAAUGCGGCGAACUUUGAGGAGGUCGAGACCUCCGCUACCUCCGGAUCGGGCGAGAUCCGUGAGUUGAGGGGCCAGCUUGCGGCCCUCACCGAUUUAGUCACUCAGCAGGCGGAGGCGGCCCGACAGCAGACUGAGGCGGCGCGCUGACAGGAGGCGCGGAUGAAACGCCUGGAGGACUUACUCCUGCAGCAGGCAGCAGCUUCUAGGGAGACGCAGGGCCCCACACCGCCAGCAUCCGUAGUGGACGUCGCACCGAGAGCGCCGUCCCCCGCACCCAGUUCUUCGCGUGCGGCGCCUGUGGCCGCACCCCAGGGGGAGGUCUUGGCGGCACCACCUGUGCAGAGGCCCCCGAUUGGAGCAGCUUUUCCUACUUUGGUUGAGGGGGCGGAGUGAGACAGACUGAUGGAGCGCCUCAACGAGUUCAGGAGGUGCAACCCCAGGAUCUUUGACGGCGAGAAGGUCGACCACUGGAUCGUGGAGAAGUGGUUGAUGCAUAUGGAAAAGCUCUUCCGCGACACCUUCAUGGAGGAGAGGGAUAGAGUUUGGCUCGCCACUCACCAUUUGGACGGCGAGGCCUACCGCUGGUGGUUGGAUCUCCAGGAGAACGCCCGCACAGACUUGGCAGCUAUUACUUGGGCGAGGUUCAAGGAGCUUCUUUUGGCGCACUACUUCCCAACCAGCGUCAAGAGAAAGAUGGAGCAGGAUUUGCGCAGCUUGCGCCAGGAUGACAGGACCAUAGCCGAGUACGAGAGGGAGUUUUCUCAGCUUCUGCAUUGCGUGCCUUUCGUAGUACGGGAUGACGAGGACAAGGCCCGCAUCUUUGAGCGAGGAUUGAGACAGUAUAUCUUCCGGUUUGUGCAAUCCUCUAACCUCCAAACCUACCGGGAGGUGGUGGAUCGCGCGCUCAUUGUGGAGAGCGCCGCGGCGGAUGUCCAGGAGCAGCGAGAGGCUAGGGACAAGGGGAAGGCCAAGAGGCCUGCGGCUGAGCGUGCAAGCCAGAUGCACUCUAGGAGGCCGCCGAAGCAUCCGAGGAGCCAGCAGCGUGGGCGUGGCUCGGACUCUCACCGUGGAGGAUCCGAUCGACGUCGACCUCCCCAGUGUGUGAUCUGUGGUGGUCCCCACGUUCCACCGCAGUGUCCUCAGCGGGGAGGGAGGUGUUUCCAAUGUGGCCAGGAGGGCCACUUUCGGACCGAGUGCCCGAAGGGAUCUUCACCGGCACCGUCGACUGCAUCGGCACCGGCUCUACCAGCCGCCAGCCAGGGGACUCCAUCGGCACAGUAUCAGCCUGGGCGGCCACCCGUCCAGCGCCAGAGCGAGGGAUCUCGACAGGCCCCGAGUGGGCGUAUGUAUGCCGCUCAGACCGAGGAGGCGACAGCAGCCGAGGAUGUCGUUGCAGGUAUCAUUUUACUAGAGUUCGUGCUUUAUUUGAUACCGGUG
rnacentral:lncRNA from 1 species